rnacentral:lncRNA from 1 species
UGUGACAAGCUCAUCACUGGCCGCAAGGAUUGGGGUCUUCAAUCGCUAUGCUCUCUUGGAACUUUUUCCAUUCGGGGAGAGAAAAAUAUAGUCAUUUCCUGAGAUAGGGCUUCUGCCAACCUCUCUUACCUCUCUGCAUAUCUCUUUCUUUGAGAAUCUGACUUCCCUGAACUCCAGAGCGCUUCAUAGCCUGAGCUCCCUUGAAAACCUCUCCAUUAUCGGAUGUCCUAAGCUCCAUUCCUUCCCAAAAGAGGGACAAAUUCUGCCCGCUUCUCUUACCUCUCUGUCGAUUUAUUUUACGGGUCUAAAAUCACUGGAUAACUUAGGGCUCCACCACCUCACUUGUCUCAAAGAAUUUCGCAUAGAUUUCUGCUUCAAUCUUCGAUCCAUGCCAGCGGAGGGCUUGUCAUCCUCCCUUUCCAAUCUAUUUAUCAAUAAGUGCCCUAUGCUGGCGAAAAGAUGCCAGCGGAAGAAAGGGAAAGAUUGGCCCCUAGUUUCGCACAUUCGCUGCAUCGUGAUUGAAGGUGUGCUCGUCACAUGAUCGAAUAUCUUGCUUUACAAUCCCUCCUUUUACCAAGAUCUCACUCAGGUAUCUCCCUUGGCCCUACACUAAGUAAGCCAUUUAUUUAUUCAGGACAUACUUCGGUCGCUCUGUGCUAUCCUUCCAGCUAAUGCAAAUCAAAAUCUGGCGUGUGUGUUGGACCGUUUCCCUAAUGUAUCUCCGGCUGAAGCACUCGACGUCACGUGGCGCAAUGUGAGCUGCAGCCGGUAGCCGGUGCGCGGCAAUACGUCCAAUUUUUGGUUGUUUGAGGAUUAGCGGGAGCUCUAAUUAAGGAAAGGUCCUGCCAAUUCUACUACUUCUGCGGAGAGUAGUUGAAUUACCGAGAGGGAAGCUUGGAAGCUAUCCGAGCGGCCUGUUGUGGCAAUCGGUUGACGCCUGCUCAGUAGCAGAGGAGAGUUUCGAAAGUGGAGGGGACAAGCAUAGGAAAUUCGUGCAAAAUCUUGGUUUAUGAGAUGGGGAUGCGGAGAGUGAUUUUUGGUGAAAUUUAAAAGAAGAUAGCAUAGGAAGUAGAAAAUGAGCCGAACACCUAGCAGGUGGGCCGCGUGGGUUUGGGGCAUCCGGAGAACACAGACCGGAUAUUUAGAAGGGAUAACUAUUGUACAAGCAUCUUCUCGAAUGUGAGCUUUGCAGACUGGAUUGGUAUCUGUCAGGUUUAUAUCUUCACCGGGAUGAAGAAGAAUUGCAGAGAGAGAGAUCAUAGAGAAGCAUCAUUUGAUUAUUUACUGUUGCUCUUCUUUUUCCCAGUGGGUACAUGCAUCUGUUGUUUGCAGUGUUAUUAGCCGGGGAUGUCAGCAUUUCCUAGUCAACUCAGUCUGAGAUCUGGUGCUUUAGCAGCAAACUAGUUAAGUUCUACCAUGAAUGGAGUUCAUUUGGUUGUAUCUACCUUAAAUGUUAAGUCGUCAUUCCCUGGCAGAAUUACGUGAAAAGAAGUAGAUGUUUGUUUCUCUUUGUGAGGAAGAAGUUUCAAUGUCUGAGUCCGGUUAAUUAGAUUCCUAGGACUUGACAAUAAUUGGUCACUGCACUGCACUGAAGCCUGUUAUUUGACAGGAAUCUCUUCCUCAUCCUCUUCUUCUUCCUCCAUUUCUUUGGACUGUUGGAGCAGAUUGUCUAGUGAUAUUUUUCAUGUGUUUACUGAUUAUCUAAGAUGCACAGUUAAGCAUUUAUUCUGUCAUGAUACAUCAUUGCGACGAAUUUUUCCAGUAACUGUUGCUGUUAGAUCGGUGUUGUUAAUAAAUUGUGCUGUUCAUGAACUCGGACAUAUUUUUCCUGGACUAACACUCAGAGAUCCGAAUUUGUUAGCAGGUCAUUAAGUAUGGUUUUGUCAUACUGUUCAAUGUUACGAUUUGGGGAUGUUAUGUCAACAGCCUAAAGAGUCUCUCGUCUCUUCAAGCCACAGUUACGAACUUCUCGACAAAUUUCCUCGCUUCUGGAUUAGCUGGGUUCUUUUUGUUUGAUGAGUCAUUGAGAUACCAGAUACUACGAUUAACUAUUUUCCUGCCCUGUUCUGCAAAGUUAUGUACUUCAAGGUUUGAUUUUUUAUUGUGUUUAAAACAAGAGGCGAGCUCUUAUUGUUAUACCUGGAACUAUCAAAAGUAUUUUUCACAUACACAAGUAAUAUCAUGACUGCAUUUAGUUCCCUCGAGAGAACAAUUCUCCCUAUGGAAUCGGAACUGGUAAUCUUGAAAGUGGCAAAUAGGCCAAAAGUUGGGAGUCAAAUUAUGCCAUAGAUAACUUCCGAGUUUAUUAUCUCAUGAAUGCAUUGAGGGUAAUUAUGCCAUCAUAAGUGGGGAGCAACAGCAUGGAGAAGGAUUUUAUAUUUCAGAUGAAAGCUUCUGAGAUCAAUGUGGUUGCUAAAGAACAGAGCUAGUUUGCUUCAUGCAAACCUGUUGUUCAGGGAUUCUUGGUGUAGUCUCCAGCCUGUGAUAAAAGGCAUUGAGUACUUCCUAGUUCCUGAUAAUGACUCAAGUUUAGGUUUAAUCAUUGCUAUCUUGACUCGCAUUAUGGUUGUGAUAUGGUUGUGAAAUUGUGAUUGAAAGGAGGCAAUGAUUUUUGAGAUUCUCACUCCACUUAGUCUAUGAAUGCAGAUUUCACGAAAUUCACAUAAGUCCCGUUCUUAGUGGUUUGCAGGUGCACUUCUUAUAGUGAUUGGUGUGCUAAUUCUUGCAAAUCAAGUUUUGAGAAGAAAAGUAGAGUUGAUUGAAAGUUCUCAGUUCAUGAGAGAUACCAUAUGCCAUGCUUGAAGGUUGCCCCCUUUUGCUACAGGCAACAGUUGCCCUGCUUCUCUGGUUUAUGUUUUUCUUUCCCUUCUCUCUUUUAAGUGCCCGAACUGCCUGUACUCAUUUAUCUUUUGUGGAUUUGCAGGUGACUUAUAAAUGAGAAGUUACAUUCUCGUGCCACUCUCAAGGAAGGAAAAAAAGGAAGUUGAGAAUUGAGGAUAGAAGAGUGUUUCCUUCCUGGCCGGUCAUUCCGCGUGAAUGAUCAUUACUUGCUGUGACUGGCAGCACAGCACCAAGGUUGCUAUGUUGUUAAUGCCAGGAUUGCUAUGUUACUGUUAAUGGUGACUGUAAGAUAUAGCCACAAAGCAAGCUGCAAAGAAGGCAGAUUUGUGUUUGGCGAUGGGAUCCUAUCCCACCUUUUCACCAUACCAAACGAGUAAGGCUGAACGUGUCGUGCGCGCUUUGAGAGCAUAAAGCUAAGACCCAACAAAGAUCAUCUUUACAUUAAUAUAAAUCAAGGUCUUAAUGUGAGCUUAUACCGACAUGUGCUAUAACGUAAUAGAAAACUUGCGGAGGAUUUAAUGGACAUCGUGCGUUACGGGGCCAAGGUUGUCUUCUAACUCACCUCGACCCGAACUGCUCUUGCUAUAAGACCCUCCAUUCCUUUUGCCCCUUAUUAAUUCAUAAAAUAUGAAAAAAAAUAAAAAUCGAUGGAUGAUUUUUUUCUUUUAAUAGACUUCAUGGAUUAUAUUUUCUUCACUUGAUGUUUUUGUCGGAUUGAAAUUUUAUGGAAAAAAAGAUUCUUAUUUUCAAUUUCUGCUUUGACAAAAGAGAAAUGCAUGAGUUAGAUCUUUCAAUUACUUUGUGGAAAAGUUAGUUAUGCCAUAGCGUGUAGUACUCAUUAAUUUGAUUGGAUAAUGAAAAUAUAUCAACUGGUGAGGUGCCAUAGAUGAAAUCAUGUCGUAGUACUAUUGCUAUUGUGGUAAAGGAAAUGGUACCUUUUCCUCGGAAAACUUUGUUACUUGAAUGAUCUAAAACAUGACAACGCGUGGCCAAAGUAAUAGUUUUUCUCAUUACCAACCUAAACUUAAAAUUUGUAAAAUCAAUUCGGUGAAAAGAUUGGUGCACCAAAUUUAUUGGCUAUCUUGAAAAAUUAGAUUUGUGAGGAAGGGGUGUCUGCCUCAAAGUGUGGAUUUUUUGCUGGCACAAUAAAAUAAUCAGGCCACCUAAGCAUUUUUUGGGGUUAAUUUAUUAUAUUCAUGUUAAUGAGUUUAUAAUGCAGCAUUGUAACAUGACGUGAGAAUACAGUAAUUUUAAGUGUGUUUAUUUCGCGAAAAUUGAAUGAUUUGAAAAAUGUUUUUUUAAAAAUAAUCGCUUAAAAUAAUUAAUGAAUGGAAAAUAUUUUUCAUUGUUCAUGAAAAUAUUUAGGAAUAAAAUUAUCAAUAAUAAAAAUAUUUUUAAUUGAUUAAUUAUUUUAAAUAAUAUAAACGCAAGCCUUCACGAGAAAACAUGGCUUACUUUUUCCAUUUUUCAUUUAACUGUCACCGUUCAGAUAAGACUUCCCCGACAAAUGGGCUCGAGGCGCGAAACUGAGGAUGAAUCAGGACCGUUACUCGAAGGCAACGGGCUCACCGACUAAAGUGCGUCCGCGCACACCGGAUGGCGGCUCACCGUCUCUCUCCUUCGCAUUUUCCCGCCAGAAACCCAUCCCCCUCGACCGCCAAAUCUCUCUCCCUCUCUUCCCCUUCCCUUACCUAAAUCCUCACUCGCGAGGCUCUCUCUCUCCCUGUGCCGCCCUCUCCCUGUCACUCCGGUGAAGCGAAGCCAUGAAGGACCUCGACUUCAAGGGCGACAAAGGUCAGUCCCUCUCUCUCUCUCUCUGUGGCGUUGUGUUUUCGUGGGUAUGCGUGGAAUUUAAUCCGGGAUCCAAUUUGAUGUUGUGAUGAUGCCGACAGCGAUCGCGAAGGAUUUCCUCUCGAACUUCGCCGACGCGAAUGGAGAAGCCAAGUACAUGAACGUCCUCGUAAGUUCCUCCUCUCUCGACUGUCCUUUUUAUACUCGGACAUCCCUUUAAGCGCUGUAGAAUUGAGGCGAAAUCAAUGUUAAAGGUGCGUGCUUGAUCGCACGUCGUGCCCAAUCCUUUUCUGUUGUCCAUGAACUGCGGCUGCGGAGUCUCUUCCGUGUGCAAUAAUGCUCCAGUACUUAUAAAAUGAUUAACCCUAGAUUUUACAUUUGAGUCGAGCGUAGUUCCCUUUUUAUUUGCAAUUUAAAUGGCUCGCAUGAGGGUCGCCAUUCCUGAUUUCAGCAAGAAGUUGCAAAUCGAAAAAUUCGUGAUAUCCGUUUUAUUAUUCCAUGAUAUCUUUCAUUCAUAAGCUAUAUGUUUAAAAUAGAUAGUAAUUAGCUAAAUAAUCGGUGACACCAAAUAUUAAAUAUUUACCUAACAUCAUCAUACUAUAAAGUUACUUUCGAUUCCGAGUAAUAAAAGCAGCACACAUCCUCUCUCUCUCUCUCACUCACUAACACAGUGGUCGAGGCGUCAGACGUGGUCGAGGCCCCCCUCAUUGUUGCAUGGCUGCUCCCGCUGGCCUGGCUCAUGAGCCGGAGGGGCCGGCAAGUGGAUGAUAGGUGCCGCAAGAUGAAGCAGCUGCUGCAAUUGGCUUCGGAAGAAGCCGUGCGAGUCAAGCUCAAGGCGUCGAUCGUGUCGUGGAUAGGCCUGAUUGAGGCCCUCAUCCUCUGCAUCAUAUGGCUGCUACCACUCGUGGCAUUUUUUCGUCCAGAGGAGUCGGUGAUGAUCGGUCGAGAGGAGCUCCAGGAUCGAGCGGCUUCGGGAGCUCGGAGGGCCAAGACCAGAGGCUCCAUCGGGUACACAACGUUGUCUCUUCCUUUACUACUAUCACUGUCCCGUUUGCUAUGGAUGCGAUACAUAUAGAUGCUCACACUGUCUGGUGAUGCGGUGCUAGUGAUUUCGAUAGUUUGAUAUCUAACUCCACUAUGUACAUGUUAGUUAUUUAGGAAUAAUCAAUCAGUCAUGGCGUUUGGUAUGGUCGAUGAACAAUCACUAGCGAAAAAAAUACUAAUGUCUAAUUUGAUUAUGUACAUACUAGUCAUUUAGGCAUAAUCAAUCAGUCAUGGCAUCUGGUGUAUGAUCAAUAAACAAUUACUAGAGAAAUUUCCGUUGUUUAUUACAACAUUUCUUAUAUACAUUUGUCUUACCGUCGUCACUCGCCCAUGGUUGCUCUCGGUCGCGACCAACUCUCGUUGCCAUGGAGGGAGAGAGAAGGGCCGUGGCGACUGAGGGGACUGUGGGGACUGUGGGGACCGCGCUCCUGAAUUCGAGCAAUUCUCGAGACGGAGUCUAAGCUCGAAUAUGUCCGCGAAGGACGCGAUUUUCUUCGCUGCUGCGGCUAACGAAGUGGAAUCCUUACGCGAAAUCGCGUCGGGAAGUCCCACCACCAAGUACGAACCUGUCUCUUCGCUGAUGGAUCCUCCCGAUCCGCGGAAGGAGUCGAAGUCGAAGUUCGCCGUCGUCCGUUGUUCGCGACCACCCCACUCUCAAGAUUCUCCAUUCAGCCACGGGUCCAAUUCUUCGCUGCCGGCGAUCGUAACUCGUUCCUACCAAAAUCUCAAGGGAGAUUUGACUACCAACGUCUCUCUCGUCUAGCGGUCUGUGUCUCUCCCUCUUCCCUCGAGCUUGCUCUAUGAUCAUGGGAUAGCGUGCGGGUCAAUGCUUCGCUUCGCUCCUCCGCUCGUAAGAAGGAAAGGAAAAAAAGAGCGAAAAAGAGAGGGAAAAUCACAAAAAAGAAAAGGAAAAAAAUAAAAGGGAAAAUAGGGAAGUUCCCAGGUGUGGUAGUUUGUUAGGGGCGUUGGCGGAUGAUGUGCCCACUUAACAUUUUGGAUCAUCAUCUCUACUGCGGUGAAUCAUUCAUCAUCGAAUGAGGAGAGACUUGUGUCUGUGGAGACAUACAUGCCAUUCAUGAUCUAAUCUACUUAAAAUAUGCUUGAUGAUUGUGCAUUUGUUCAAGCUUUAAUGUGAUGAUAACUACAAAGGACAUAUAUGUUUCGCCAGGGGAGCUUCAAAUAUGCAAAUGUCAAUGUUAAUUGCAAAAUCUUUCUGCUUGGAAAGCCUGCUAGCCCUCACUAGCCAAAAUGAAAAGAGGAAAAAAAAUUAAAAAAUUUCCACGUCAACGCGAGUCACGCCUUAUAAGAUAGCCAACUUUUAAAUCAAUGGAUUGGACUCAAUUUUCACAAAUAUAAAAAAAUCAAUGGUUAAAUUAAUCUAAUCUAAAGAUUUAAAAGUGAAUUGGUAUUAAUAUAAUAUGUUUAAAUUUUUUUUUAGUACUUUUCCCUUAAUUGUCAUUUCAAUCUUUUUGAUACAACACAAAAUUGUUCCAUGAAAUGUCACAUCACAAAAUUGAAGAACACUACAAAUAAGUAAAAAUCAUAAAAUUGAAAAAUAAACAUCAAAUAUGAAAAACAAAAAACAAAGAAAAGGAUGAAGUCUGCCAAGAGACGAGAGCUUGGGAAUGGAGAAAUAAUGGGGGUUUAUAUGCCGCCCCAAUAAGGGCUGGCGAUCCUCGUCGAGGUCCUAUCGAGGGCAGUGAGCCCUCACACGAUAGUUGUUGCAAUAACCAUCACCAUCAUUGGGCCCUGGCAAGGGUCUAUCCAACAAAUUUUGCCCCACUGCUGCGAGGGGCAUUACCUCCGUCCAUCUCUAGGCGAGUCGCCCUCACGGAUGCAAAGCCGCCCCCUCAUUGCCCCUAACAUUUUUUACUUUUCUAAAAUCAUUUCAAUCCUUUCUUUUUUUUAAUAUUUAUGCUAUUUCGAUCCUUUUUUUUUUUUUUUCCUUUUUAGCAUUUGUCUUUUUGACGCGGUGCCUAUUCGACACCAAGAGAAGAAGAGUGAACUCUCCAUUUUUGGGUCCACCAUUGGCUUUCUUUAUGAUUAUCUUAGGAUGGUUUGACAGUCCCAUUCUCAGGAGGAAUUGGGGUGGGGACGAUUUCGUGGGUUUCGACUCCCACGCCCUGUAAGGAGGUAAGGACAAAAGCCUGAGAGUGAGUGUUAGAAUAGGAUUAUAGUAGGACUGACAAAAAAAAAAAAAAAAACUUAAUUUGACCAAUUUUUUUGCCUCUCUUUCUUUUUCCACUUUUUCCAAGAAGCUUCACGAAAGCAUCUCGGGUCAUUAGUUUCGUCGAAUUUAAUGUCUGAAAAGGAAACUCCACGGCUUCUUGCAAUACCCGUCCUUGAUUUCCUUUGAAAUGAAGUUGCUCUCGAGGAAACCCUCCUCGAAGUAGUACUCAGGGCUGUCAAAUGAUUGGUUCGAAAAUGGUUAAGCCCUAAUUGAUCCAUGUAAUUUUGAUAAAAAAAUUACCUAUAUAACUUUUUUUUUUACUCAUUUAUAUGAAAUACAAAGUUAAUGUCCCAAUAUAGAGCCAUAAUUUUGACUGACGGAAGUGAAAUUUUCACUGUUAUGCAUCUUAAAUUUUUUUUUAAUAUUUGUUACUAAUAGGUAUUUCAAAUGAAGUCAACUCAAUAAAUUAGUAAAAAAAAUUACAGAAGACUGAAAGAAAAUUAACUCAACUAAAAUAGAAUAACUACUCAAAGAACAUUUUAAAAAAAAACAAAAGUAAGAGUACAAAAAUUGCCAAAACAUCAUUACAAAUGAUAAAUUGAAGAAUUAAAAAUGGCAAAAAUUGAUACACCCCUUCCGUACAAAGAGUGCUUAGGCCCUUUCAAUCUUUUCUUUUAAUUGGGGAGAGUGGGGAAGCAAUAACACUUAGACCGCCAACUUUUUUGAGAUUAGUGCAUUUAAAAUUUUAAACUCAUGGCAGAAGUGUAACUGAAUUUUAAAAUUUAAGAUAAUAUAAUCAAGUAUGAAAUUUUGCAAUCAAAAUUGAAGAUGCUUAAAAUAUUACUCUAGUAGAAAUCAUCAAUAUGUGUUGUGUUGAAUGUUAAACGCAAAACAAAACCUGAAAGUAUGAUACCACUCAUUUAGAGUCACUUAGGCAUUAUAAUUUUUUUUUUGGGUUGAAAUUUAGACAACAUUUCAAUAAGCAGAUUUGAUAAUUGUAAUGUCCCAACAAUCGUUUCAUCAAAUAUGUGAUGGAUGGAAAGUGUAGAAAAGAAGUAAAAAAAGAAUAAAUGCACACAACAAUUUUUUUCAUAGUGUGAUUGUUUAGAUAUAACUGAACUUGUUGACCGAAAGCAACAUAAGUGUCCAUCGGGUGUCUGGAUUGCAACGCUAAUGCUACUACAUGGCUACUAGAUGUUCUCUUUGAGAGAAAAUAUUGAAUAUACAAGUUGUGUUAGUGUAACAAAUUAAAAGCUCAUCCAUUGAGCGACAUGUGUUCUUAAAAAACGCACUUGAAGUGGGAACGCUCAUGUUUCAAUAUGGCAUGCAAGUCGCUCUCUCGAGGAAACCCUCUUCCUAAGUAGCACUUGGGCUACCGAAUGGUGGAUUGGUUCGAAAAUGAUUAGACUCUAAUUGACCCAUGUGAUUUUGAUUAAAAAUAAUCAAUAUAACCUGUUUUGACUCAUUUAUAUGAAAUACGAACUUAAUGUUCCAUAAUAGCGCCACAAUUUUGAGUGGUGGAAGUGAAAUUUUCACUAUUAUGCAUCUAAAUUUUUUAAUUAAUAUUUGUUACUAAUAGGUAUUCCAAAUAAAGUCAACUCAAUAAGUUUUCUAAUUUUUCAAUUAAUAUUUUUACAAUAGGUAUUUUAAAUAAAAUCAACUCAAUAAGGUUUCUUUUUUUUAAUUAAUAUUUGUUACAAAUAGGUAUUUCAAAUGAAGUCAACUCAAUAAAUUAGUAAAAAAAUUACAGAAAACCGAAAAAAUUAACUCAACCAAAUUAGAAUAAGUACUCAAACUACCUUUAUUUUAAAAUAUAAGUAAGAGUGCACAAAUUGCCAAAACAUCAUUACAAAUGAUAAAUGGAAGAAUUAAAAAUGAUAAAAAUUGAUGCACCCCUUCCAUACAAAGAGUGCUCAGACCGUCAACUUUUAUUUAGAGAUUAGUGCAUUUAAAAUUCUAAACUCAUGGCAAAAGUGUAACUGAAGUUUAAAAUUUUAGAUAAUAUAAUCAAAUCUGAAAAUUUACCAAAUUGAAGCAAUCAAAAUUUAAUAUGCUUAAAAUAUUACUCUAAUAUAAAUCAAUAAUAUGUGCUGUGUUGAAUGCUAAGCGCAAAACAAAUCCUUGAUAUGUGAUAUCACUCAUUGAUUGUGUAGAAUUUAGGCAACAUUUUUUUUUGGGUCGAAACUUAGGCAACAUUUCAAUAAGUGGAUUUGAUAAUUACAACGAUCCGCAUAAUUGUUUCAUCAAUAUGUGAUGGAUGGAAAGUGAAAAAAAUAAAAAUAAAAAAAGGAGUAAAAAGAGAAUAAAUAUGCAACAUUUUUUUUUUCAUAGUGUAAUUGUUUAGGUAUUAUUGAACUUGAUGUUGACCGAGAGCAACUAAAUUUCCACCAAUUGUCCGGAUUGCAGCAUUAAUGCUACUACAUGUUCUUUGGGAGAAAAUAUUGGUUGUGCAGGUUGUGCCAGCGCAACAAAUUGAAAGCUUAUCCAUUGAGGAACAUGUGCUCAUCUUCUUGCCCUUUCUCUAUUCUCCCAUUGCUUUCUUCGUUCUUUUUGCAAGCCACAGAUGGUCUCUCUCCUCCAUAAACCCCUUCUCCUCCUUCGGCCCUCCCCCUCACUUGCACGGGGCACGAUAAUGUCAUUCACCCGGCUCUCCUUCACUUGAGCUCGACCUUUGUGCCUCCCCCACUAACAACAGCUCCACCAUUGAAAUCGUCCGCUGCCCUGCGGCCCUCGGAUCCAAGAACAAGCCUAAGUCUCCCGUGCUCAUUGUCAUCACUCAUGACCCCGAGCCCCUGCAUCCUUGAGAUCUUAUGUGCUCCGAGUCAUCCCUCCCUCCAUAGCUUCCGGAUCUAACAAGGGCUCAGUCCUUGCCAGAUUCAGCGUGAGCGACCCUUACCCUAGCUGGGAGAGUCAACCCCCACCAAAUCCCCUCAUCAGAUUCGGCGAGAGCAACCCUAGCUUGUGGCCAGUCACCGGCCACAACCAAGUACUGGCCAUAGGUCAAAGGGAAAGAAAGUAAUUAAAAAAGAAGAAGAAGAAGAAGAAGGGAGAAAUGGCAAAGAAGAAGAAGAGAAAUGGAGGUGGGAGUCUGUGAGAGGAGAGAAACAAAGGAAGAGUAGCCUGAUAAGUAAGCUUUUUAUGGACACAUAUUGCUCAAUGGAUGGGCUUUCAAUUUGUUGCGUUGGCACAACUUGUGCGGUCAAUAUUUUCUCCAUGUCUUAGUAGGGUUUAAAAAUAAGUAAAUGCUCAGCCCACGAACGCAUACAUGUCCAUACACAUGUUUUCAGAAUUUUAUUAAUAUCAGCUAUACGAGAUUGUGCUAUAAUAUAAUAACACAAAGAGGCCUAGAAUCGGAAAAGCUCACCUAGAGAAACCCCGCAUUAUCUUCAAUCAAACCCCUGGAAUGGGAAUGGAAGCUUUCUUGGCAUCGUUUGGUUGAUUGGAGCGAGGUGGAAUGGAAAUAAAAAUGGGGAAUAAAAAUUGCUUCAUUACUGCAUAUUUCGUUAACACGCGGGAAAGUGGAAAUGAGCGAUAAGGCAUGGGAAUGAGUUGACAGUCAAGGGUAAAUUGACAUGUGCACUAAGCUUCGUAUUUGAUAACUGUUGUUUGGACAUAAUAUGGCAAACAUACUUACCUAAUUUACUAUUAUAUAGCAAUUUGAAAAGAUAAAAUUCCACCCAUUACUACAUACGUUCCAAUUCCGAUGUAUUAUCAAAUGCAGUGAUAUUCAAAUCAAUUGCUAUUCUGAUUCACUACAAGCAAUUCCAUUCCCCUCUAGUUAUCUCAUGCUUAUGUAACAAAUGGGUCAAAGAAACAAUUUAGAACUCGUAUGGACCACAUCCUCAUCUAAAAUUAAGAACAAAUCAAAGUGCAUGAACCGCAAAAAUUAGGACCAUGAGCGCACGCAUGUCUAGUCUAUCUAAUUCUUGUUAAAACUCAUAAAAACAACAAUCAAAACAGAAAAAUUUCUGUUUUUGAGAGAGAGAAAAGAUAUAAAAAAAAAAAAAACAGAGCACUUCAUACGUCUUGUGCUUAAAAAAAACUGUCGAGUACAACCACUAAAUACAAAACAAAAACUGUUCACAUACGUGCAACACAUAACUGCACACAAACGUGCUAUUAACUUCCUAGAAAAUAGCAAAAACACUAAAUACGUAACUAAAUGAACUUGGCUGUUUUUUAAUAAAAAAAACAGAGUAAAACAGAGUAAAAAGAAAACUGAAAACAGCAGAAAACAGAGACAUUAUAAUCCAACAAACUUCUCCUUGGAUCAGUUGCUGCUGCAUACUCCAAUUUUCUUUCUUAAUACUUCAAAUCUUCCUGCUUGAAGUGGUUUUGUGAACAUAUCUGCAAGCUGAUCUUCAGAUCUGCAAUAGACCAACUUAACUUCGCCACUUUGUUGCACCUCAUGCAAAAAGAAAAAUUUGACUUUGAAAUGCUUGGUUUUGCCAUGGAAAACUGGAUUCUGAGAUAUUGCUAACGCCGCCUGAUUAUCCACAUUAACUUCAAUGCAAUCACUAGAAUUCAACCACAGAUCCUUCAUUAUCUUUUUCAGCCACAAAGCUUGAUUUGCANNNNNNNNNNNNNNNNNNNNNNNNNNNNNNNNNNNNNNNNNNNNNNNNNNNNNNNNNNNNNNNNNNNNNNNNNNNNNNNNNNNNNNNNNNNNNNNNNNNNNNNNNNNNNNNNNNNNNNNNNNNNNNNNNNNNNNNNNNNNNNNNNNNNNNNNNNNNNNNNNNNNNNNNNNNNNNNNNNNNNNNNNNNNNNNNNNNNNNNNNNNNNNNNNNNNNNNNNNNNNNNNNNNNNNNNNNNNNNNNNNNNNNNNNNNNNNNNNNNNNNNNNNNNNNNNNNNNNNNNNNNNNNNNNNNNNNNNNNNNNNNNNNNNNNNNNNNNNNNNNNNNNNNNNNNNNNNNNNNNNNNNNNNNNNNNNNNNNNNNNNNNNNNNNNNNNNNNNNNNNNNNNNNNNNNNNNNNNNNNNNNNNNNNNNNNNNNNNNNNNNNNNNNNNNNNNNNNNNNNNNNNNNNNNNNNNNNNNNNNNNNNNNNNNNNNNNNNNNNNNNNNNNNNNNNNNNNNNNNNNNNNNNNNNNNNNNNNNNNNNNNNNNNNNNNNNNNNNNNNNNNNNNNNNNNNNNNNNNNNNNNNNNNNNNNNNNNNNNNNNNNNNNNNNNNNNNNNNNNNNNNNNNNNNNNNNNNNNNNNNNNNNNNNNNNNNNNNNNNNNNNNNNNNNNNNNNNNNNNNNNNNNNNNNNNNNNNNNNNNNNNNNNNNNNNNNNNNNNNNNNNNNNNNNNNNNNNNNNNNNNNNNNNNNNNNNNNNNNNNNNNNNNNNNNNNNNNNNNNNNNNNNNNNNNNNNNNNNNNNNNNNNNNNNNNNNNNNNNNNNNNNNNNNNNNNNNNNNNNNNNNNNNNNNNNNNNNNNNNNNNNNNNNNNNNNNNNNNNNNNNNNNNNNNNNNNNNNNNNNNNNNNNNNNNNNNNNNNNNNNNNNNNNNNNNNNNNNNNNNNNNNNNNNNNNNNNNNNNNNNNNNNNNNNNNNNNNNNNNNNNNNNNNNNNNNNNNNNNNNNNNNNNNNNNNNNNNNNNNNNNNNNNNNNNNNNNNNNNNNNNNNNNNNNNNNNNNNNNNNNNNNNNNNNNNNNNNNNNNNNNNNNNNNNNNNNNNNNNNNNNNNNNNNNNNNNNNNNNNNNNNNNNNNNNNNNNNNNNNNNNNNNNNNNNNNNNNNNNNNNNNNNNNNNNNNNNNNNNNNNNNNNNNNNNNNNNNNNNNNNNNNNNNNNNNNNNNNNNNNNNNNNNNNNNNNNNNNNNNNNNNNNNNNNNNNNNNNNNNNNNNNNNNNNNNNNNNNNNNNNNNNNNNNNNNNNNNNNNNNNNNNNNNNNNNNNNNNNNNNNNNNNNNNNNNNNNNNNNNNNNNNNNNNNNNNNNNNNNNNNNNUGUAGGUUGUUUUUCGAACUGUGCUGUUCUGCACUCUUUCCUUCCAUCCAAAUCACUCAUCUCCUCUAGAAAAACAACAUAUCUGCUUACAGUCACUUUCUCUGUCAUAGGGUGAAAAAUUCUGUAAGCCUUUGAUUGGAGACUGUACCCAAUGAAGAUUCCAAGCUCUGCUUUCUUAUCCCAACAUGUCCCUCUUGACCUCAGGAACAUGAGUGUAACACAAAUACCCAAAAACCUUCAAAUUUUUCACAGAAGGUUUAACACCAUACCAGACUUCAAAAGGUGUUGACCUCUCUAAGGCCUUUGUGGGCAAUCUGUUCAACAGGAACACUACAGUAUUAGCUGCUUCAGCCCAGAACUUCUUAGGCAACAUCUUCUCAUGCAUCAUACAUCUGGCCAUCUCCAUAAUACUUCUGUUUUUCCUCUCACUGACCUCAUUCUGUUGAGGUGAAUAGGGAGCAGUGAACUGCUGCACAAUUCCUGCUUGCUCACAAUUCAACUUAAACUUGUGAGCAGUAUACUCAGAACCAUUAUCAGACCUGAGCAUUUUAAUUUUCUUCCCACUCUGAUUCUCAACUAAGGCUUUAAACUUCACAAACACAUCAGCAACUUCAGACUUGGCUCGCAGAAAAUAAAUCCAACUCAUCCUAGUCAUAUCAUCAGUGAAGGUAAUGAAAUACCUGCUACCAUUGAGAGAAGACUCAGACAUAGGUCCACAUAGAUCUGUGUGGACUAAUUGCAGCUUCUCACAUGCUCUCCAGCCUCCUCCUUUGAAAGGAAAUAUGACUUGCUUGCCAAGAAGACAAGUUCUGCACUGUGGAAAUUCCUCCUCCAAACUUGGCAAGUCAUCUGCCAAGCUAUUUCUCUGCAUAAACGACAUGCUCUUCCUGUGAACAUGCCCAAGUCUUUUAUGCCAUAUCUCUGCAUUUUCUUCUUUGCACUUUAAAGCCAUUUGUUGCAUCUCUUGUGGCUUGAACAUGAAACUCUUGUCCUUCAUUGGGAUUCUUAGCACUUCUUUGCUAUCUGCAUUAUUAAUAAGACAUUCCUUCCCUUCGAACUUCACUUUAUAGCCCUUCUCAACUAAUUGACCAACACUUAACAAAUUAUGGUCAAUAUUUGGCACAAAAAGAACAUCACUGAUCAGCUUCACCUCCUGAUUUCCUUCAAUAGCCACUGUACCCUUCCCUUGCACUUCGAUAUACUGUCCGUUGCCAAUUCUGACUCUGGACCUGACUGACCUGUCUAGAAUCCUAAACAGCUUCGAAUUGCCAGUCAUAUGAUUGGUACAGCCACUAUCCACCAACCAUGCAUCAUUCCCAAUAGAAGAUUCAGAAAAAAGAAGCUACAAACAAGUGCUCUUCCUUAGUUUCAUUCACUGCUACCUGGGCUUUUCCUGCUUGCUGGUAAUUUUUUUUCUUUGCAGAUGGCUUCCAUGUGACCCAACUUGUGACAUGUUCUGCAUCUAGCAUCAGGCUUUCUCCAACAUCUAAAAAACUGAUGAUUAGUUCCACCACAGUAUUGACAAGGCUUUUUGUUCAUCUUCCAUUUGCUAGACCCACCAAAAUUUCCUUCUUUUGCUACAAACUUGGAGUCACCAGGAUUUUCUCUAGACUGAAUCCAUUUCUUCCCUUUGCCUCCAUCAUUUGACUUCACUUUAGCUUGCAGCGCACCCUCUACAAACUCUUCUUUUCUCAUCAAUCUUCUGUGCUCCUGUGCCUGCAGAGCAUUUAACAAUUCUGCAAGCUUUAUAUCAGCUAAGUCUCUUGUAUUUUCCAGAGAUGCUAUGGUGGCUUCGAACUUCUCUGGAAGAGACACCAGGAUCUUCUGAACAAGCCUUUCAUCCUUCAAGGCAGUCCCUAAAACUCUGAUUUUUUCAGCUAUCCCAACCAACCUAUCAAAGUACUCCUUCACUGACUCUGAAUCCUUCAUCUGCUGUCUCUCAAACUCCCUCAAGAGAUUCAGCACCUUCAUGCCUCUUAUCUUCUCAUCUCCCUCGUAUUCAUCCUUCAAGAAAUCCCAUAUUGCCUUUGCAGAAUCACAUCUCAUGAUCCUUGUGAAGAUAGUGGGUGAAACAGCAGCGUACAGGCAUGACUUUGCCUUGGCCUUCCUUGUGAUUCUCUAUUUAUGGUACUUUAUCUGAUUCAAGGUCGGAUUGUCUGGAAGUGGAGCAACCUCAUAAUCAUCUACCACAGCCUCCCAUAAAUCAUGACCCUCCAAGAAUGCCGUCAUCUUGACAGCCCAAGCCUGAUAAUUUUCCCCAGAAAAGACUGGAGUUGCCAUUGCAGAGAAUCCACUCGAUCCUGCCUCCAUCAGCUUUUUCUUUGCAAAUCGGAAGCAAUCUUCACUCAAUUACCCUCACUUCACAGUCCCUUAAGAUCCCACAAACGCUCUGAUACCAAUGUUAAAACUCAUAAAAACAACAAUCAAAACAGAAAAAUUUCUGUUUUUGAGAGAGAGAAAAGAUAUAAAAAAAAAAAAAAACAGAGCACUUCAUACGUCUUGUGCUUAAAAAAAACUGUCGAGUACAACCACUAAAUACAAAACAAAAACUGCUCACGUACGUGCAACACAUAACUGCACACAAACGUGCUAUUAACUUCCUAGAAAAUAGCAAAAACACUAAAUACGUAACUAAAUGAACUUGGCUGUUUUUUAAUAAAAAAACAGAGUAAAACAGAGUAAAAAGAAAACUGAAAACAGCAGAAAACAGAGACAUUAUAAUCCAACAAUUCUACAUGUAUAUAGUGGUAGAUAUAUCCAAUAUGACCUCACUACAUACAUCCAAUUUCCACUCUGGAAAACGUAAUUAAUUGUUUAGGCUUGUUCUUCACUACUUAUUUUUCCUCCAAUUGCCUUCACGUUACCUCUUUUGGAAGCAUUCAGUUGAUCUACAUGCAUUGUUUGGACAUGAAGAAAUGUUUUAAUAGUUCAGUUUUCAUAAAAAUAGACCAGCUCGAGAUUAUCAAUGGUGUGUGUAUAUGUAAUCUUGUGUACUCAAACUAGCUAAACUCGAAUGAUAUUCCAAUUUCGAUCUAAAAUACCAUUGCCGGAUAAUUUUAAUGGAAUGCCAUCAAAUUGUUUUCCCCUAAUGCUGCGUUAAAGUACGUAUUGCAUAACUUAGAUACAUUUACCCAAAAUCAUUCCGAAAAAAAUAUAUCAGGACAAAUUCAGAAGCUUUAUAGGCGUUAAUCGUGGAUUAAUAUAGUUUCGUUUCAUUCUUAUUAGAACUAUAUAAGGAAUUUAUUUCUUCACGUGGGAAGCAAACUCUGCCUUUUUUAGUCAAUUGUUGACUUCGCUUUUGAUUAAUUAGACAUAACUAAAUUUAUUUUUGCUCAAGGUUUGCUGUUUGACAUAUAAUAUCAAAAAUAUAUUUCAAAACUUCACCACUACAUAUUUACAAUACCCCGCAACAUUGCACGAGAAGUAGCAACCAUGUGCGGUUCACAUUCCCGUCUGAGCACCUGGGAAAGCCUACUCUCAUCUAAUACUGUACAAUUAAAUUAGGUCAGUAUAUCCAACUUCCAUGAUUUUAGGUAUGUGAAUGUGAAUACACCAGUUGCCAAAUGAAGGACACGAAAGAAAAAGGAAAUAAGUUAACCACACGGGCAGGAUUGAGAGAUGUGUAUUUUUGCAAGCUACGUAAUGUCUCCGAACAUAUAGUCAUGAGAUACGGUCCGCAAACAAAUGUAAGACCAUACAGUAUCCAUUUUCCCAUUUGGGACACAAGAUCAACUAGGUAUAUUGCUACAUUACUCAAUUGCAUUCAUUUAACUAUAUGGUAAUUUAUUGUGGGAUGGCAUACACAUUGCAUCGUAUAAUGUACAUGGAAAUAUCAAUAUUGUUAUCAGUACCCACAUGAUCUCAUGAGAUAAUAUUUUGAACAAUCUUCUAAAUCUUCUUGAUAUAUAUGCCAUGCACUUGGUACCAAACUAAAAAGCAUUCCGCAACUCUCCCGCUAUAUAAACAUAGUGGACUCGCUAUAUUACCAUAUUUACGAGCUUUUGGAGAAUCAAAGUCGAAUGUCAUUCAACAACAGGGGAUCGAGAAGCAAGAAAAACAUAUUUAGCAAAGAAUGGAACGUGCUCAAGGGGAAAUGGGGAUCUCGAGAAGCCUCGUUGAGCAGGACCUAUCGGGACGCCGCCACGUCACCGGUGAGCUCACUAGCAGAGCCCCAACGGAACUAUCGGUGGAGUCUCAGCGGAGAUCCUCGAGCGUCAGCCAAAGCGACGACCAUUAUCACAAUUCUGGUGAAGACGAUCCAUGGCGAGCAAGCUACAAGCAUGGCGCUCUCGCCUAUUCUGGUGAUUACGAUCAAGGGUGAGUGAGAUCAUACCCGUGACCACCCCAGCAGGAAUAUGAUUAUUCUUAUCACACUAGCAAGGGCAGUAUUAUUCUCAGGGUCUUGACAAUGUCAAUAGUUACGUCCGCGACGACGCGUCUGUUCCAUCAUACCUGCCCCGCAUACCUCUUAUGGUUAUCACCAUCCAUCCGAGUCUCCCCCGAAUAAUUGCUUGGUGAUGUGAGAUGCCUAAUAUAGUGUGGCUAUAGUUGCUAUUUACUAAUAUCUGGUGAAGUACGUGAUGAGCUAGGGGCAUGGUUGAGCCAUUGGUUUGUUAGCUUUCGCUUGUGACUCUCAGUGAAGUUUCUUGUUUUAGUCAAUGGUUUCGAACGUGAUGGAGUUUGAUUGAAAUCGCUUUGAAAUCACGAGCGAGGAACGGCCUCACCUGGGCGAGGCCACCCUUGCCCUGGGGGAGGCAGCCCUUUGCGGCCAUUUGCAAGGGCUCAAUGACUUCGUCGGCCACAGGCAAAGGUGGCCUAACAGGCCCUUGUUGGCCAUUACUAGCGGCCGGCAAGAUCAUUGAACCCUUGCAAAGAAAAAAGAAAAGAAAAUUUGGAUGAAAACUUUUUGACCAGUUGAAAAAUUUAGCCGGCCGACGACCGCCGAAGUUAGACUCUUAUUUGAAAUAACAAUGGGUACAUCAGGCCUUUAUUUAAAAAAAAAAUGAAUGCCACUUCAAGUCCUUAUUUGGAACAAGAUCUAUUUGGAGUCUUUAUUUGAGAAAAUGGCACACUUCAAGCCCUUCUUUAAAAUUUUCCCUUUAUUUUAUUUUAGGUUGCAAUUCUUGCCCGUGGAAUGAACUAAAAUAUACUCUUUUUCUCUCUCUCUUUUUCCCACUUAAAAAAGCCGCUUGAUGAAAUAUUAUUUAUCUUGAGCAAAUGCACCUUGAAUCAAAAGGGGGAAAUGACUUCGCAUUUCUUCAGAAGUCUUCCAAACGCAGGUGCUCAUGUCAACAUUUGCAUCAAGAUUUCUAACGUUUCGUUUCGAAAAAUUAUAGUUACUGCGAUUUUUCUUUUCGUAUUUUAUAAAAAAAAAAAAGUCAAAACGGCGCAUCACGUUGACCCAUCAUCAGUCCAUGCAUGCCGAUCAGCAGGCGCUGUCCCUGUCCCGACCUCAUCGUCACAAGGGAAGAAUGUGAACCAAGCGAUCAACCAUCGAUCUUCGAAGGAGAAGACUUCACACAUCGGCGCUUCUUCCGUCGGGCGAUCGUCCUCACUUCCUCUCCAAUCUCUUCCCAGCUUCCUCCUGCAUCCUGAAAAUCCCUAUGGCGGGGGCGCUCGUCGGCGGAGCAUUUCUCUCGGCUUUCCUCCAGGUGCUCUUUGACCGGAUGGCCUCCCGCGAAGUCGUCGACUUCUUCCGGUCACGCAAGCUCGACAAGGGGAGGCUGCUGCAGAAGCUGAAGGCCGCGCUCCUGUCCGCGAACGCCGUGCUGGACGACGCGGAGGAGAAGCAGAUGACCAACGACCACGUCAGGGAGUGGCUCGACGACCUCAAGGACACCGUGUACGACGCCGACGACCUGUUCGACGAGAUCGCCACUGAAGAUCUGAAGCGUGAAGCCGGGGUCGAGCCUCGGGCUCUCGUUUGUAAGGUCUGGAGCUUCGCUGCAGACUCUCGUAGGAGGAAAUUGGGGGAUGAUUUAGAGAGGGUUCUGGAGAGAUUGGAGAGCGUAGUGAAGCAGAGAGAAGUGCUGGGCCUAAGGGAAGGUAUUCGCGAGAGGACGGCUAGAGCUUUGCCGACCACUUCGUUGGUCGAGGAAUCGGGAGUUUUCGGGAGGGAGAAGGACAGGGAGGCGGUGAUCGAGUUGCUCUUGUCAGAUCGGGGCGAAAAGAACACCAGCGUGAUGGCCAUCGUUGGGAUGGGCGGUGUCGGUAAGACCACGCUAUCUCAGCUUGUGUACAACGAUGGUGUGGUGAAAGGGAGUUACGAGUUGAGGGCGUGGGUUUCCGUGUCCGACCAAUUCGACAUCUGCAAGCUGACGGCCACGGCUCUCGAGGAGUUCUCCUCCUCGUCUAAGAAGGAGACCGAAAAUCUCAACCAGCUUCAGCUCCAGCUGAAGAACUUCUUGACAGGGAAGAAAUUCCUAUUGGUGUUGGAUGAUGUUUGGAAUGAGGACUUCAAUAUUUGGGAUGCGUUCCUAGUUCCUUUUACCUAUGGAGCAAGAGGCAGCAAAAUCGUCGUGACGACACGAAAUGAGAGCGUCGCAUUGGUUGCUCGUGCCGUCUCGACAUACCCUUUACAGAAGUUGCAAGACGAGGAAUCUUGGGACUUGUUCGCAAAAAAUGCGUUUGACCAGCAUAACUUCGAGGCACGCACGGGACUUGAAGAUAUCGGGCAAAGAAUUGUAAAGAGAUGUGAUGGAUUGCCUCUUGCGCUGAAGACUAUAGGUAGCUUGUUACGCUGUGUGUCUGAUAUCAGGAAGUGGGAAAUAAUUGCAGAGAGUGACAUUUGGGAUUUGGCACCUGGAAAGUAUAAAAUUCUCCCUGCGUUGUUGUUAAGUUAUCAUUACCUUCCUCCACAACUGAAACGAUGUUUUGCUUAUUGUUCAAUCUUCCCAAAGGAUUGUAGAUAUGAGAAGGACCAGCUGAUCUUACUUUGGAUUGCUGAGGGCUUGAUAAAACAACCUAACGACAGCAGGACAUUGGAGGAAGUAGGUGAUCAGUGCUUCUGUGACCUUGUGUCUAGAUCUUUGCUUCAUAGAGUAAGUGAUAUCGAAUUGAGCUUCUCGAUGCAUGACCUGAUCAAUGACUUAACGAGAUAUGUAGCUGGUCGAUCUUUUUUUAGCUUGGACGGAGGCAAUGCACACCAGGUGUCCUUGAGCACUCGCCAUUUGUCAUUUGUAAGAACUCAAUAUGAUGUCGCUUCUAGAUUCAGAGUGUUAGCCAAGGCAAUGAAUUUGCAUACUUUCCUACCGCUAAAUGUGGGUCAUGUGAGAUUAGGCGAGUGCUCUUGGUUGACUGAUGAGGUAUUGCAUGUUCUGUUGCCGACCCUGAGACGGUUAAGGGUGCUAUCUUUGUCUCAUUAUCAUAAAAUCUCUACGUUGCCCAGUUCAAUUGGACGUUUGAAGCAUUUGCGCUAUUUGAAUAUCUCCUAUAAUACAAGUCUACACAGAUUGCCUGAUUCAGUUACUGCUCUAUACAACCUGCAAACCUUAAUUCUUGCUCACUGUUGUUCUCUCAUUGAGUUACCGAGCAACAUGGGCAGCCUGACCUGUCUGCGUCAUCUUGAUAUGAGGGGGACAUCCCUGAAGAGAAUGCCAUUGGGGAUGAACAGACUGAAGAAUUUGCAGACAUUAACUAAUUUCGUGGUGGCGGAAAACGGUGGGACCAGGGUUAGGGAGUUAGGGGAGCUUGGGAAUCUUAUGGGUACACUCUCCAUAGAGGGUUUGCAGAAUGUUGAUAGUUACCGAGAUGCCGAAAUAGUCAAUUUGCAGGGAAAAAGGUACUUGAAAAAGUUAGUACUGCAAUGGGGUUCCGAUAACAAUAUCACGCAGCAAAAUUGCUUAAAUGUACUGGACAAGCUGCAACCUCAUUGGAACUUGAGAGAGCUUAUCAUUAUAUCCUAUAGUGGUAGGUCAUUUUCCAAUUGGGUGGGACAUGGUUCAUUCUCUAAUAUGUCAGUCGUGCGUCUUGAAUCUUGCAAGCACUGUGUGUCAUUGCCUCCUUUAGGACAGAGACCAUCUCUAGAGAAGUUGAUAAUCGAAGGAUUUGAUGGAGUUACAAGUGUGGGUACUGAAUUCAAUGGUAGUAACUGUAUACCUUUCCAGUCACUUAAGUACUUGGAAUUUGCUGACAUGUGCAGCUGGAAAGAGUGGGCUUGUUUUGCAAUAGAGACAGGAGGUCUUGCCUUUGCACAUCUGCAGGAGCUUCGUAUUAGAAAUUGCCCGCAGUUGAGUGGAGGUUUACCCAGCCAUCUCCCUUCUCUAACAGCCUUGUCCAUUGGAAGGUGCCCACAGCUAACGUCUUCUCUACCAUUUGCACCACUUCUCCGUGAGAUCAAUUUGGAUGAUUGUGGAAAGGUCUCUGGAGUUGAGCCCCUCCUAAAUGGCACUGAGUUACGAGAUAUGAAAAUCUGGAAUCUUUCAACCCUUCCCUUGAGGUUUCUUCCUCCUACCGUGACAAGACUCAGUCUUGAAGACAGUCCUGAAAUAGAGUUGCCAAUGCACAGAUGCCAUGAAUCUCUCCAAUAUCUAAACUUGAUGUGGAGCUGCAAUUCACUUAUAUCCUUUCCUCUGGAAAUUUUCCCCUUGCUUAAGAAUAUUCAGUUGGUGGGGAUUGAAAAAUUGGAACAUCUUUCAAAUUCAGACGGUUCACCACUUCUUCUCCAUUCGAUUGACAUUAGAUAUUGCCCUGAAUUUACAUCUUUCCCUGCGGGAGGAUUGGCUGCCCCAUGCCUCACUUCAUUAGAGUUGAAUGACUGCCGUCAUCUAAAGUAUCUGCCAGAAAACAUGCAGGCUCUCCUUCCUUCACUUCGGUCAUUGACAAUAUCCUCAUGUCCACAAAUCGAGUCAUUUCCUGAGUGGGUUUUACCCUCCAAGUUGGUCACGCUUUCACUCUCUAAUUGUGACAAGCUCAUCACUGGCCACAAGGAUUGGGGUCUUCAAUCACUAUGCUCUCUUAAAACUUUUGUCAUUAGGCGAGGGAAAAAUAUAGAGUCAUUUCCUGAGAUAGGGCUUCUGCCAACGUCUCUUACCUCUUUGGAUAUCUUUGGCUUUGAGAAUCUGACGUCCCUGAACUCCAAAGGGCUUCAUAGCCUGAGCUCCCUUGAAAACCUGUCCAUUGGCGAAUGUCCUAAGCUCCAUUCCUUCCCAAAAGAGGGACAAAUUCUGCCUGCUUCUCUUACUACUCUGUGGAUUUAUGAUGUGGGUCUAAAAUCACUGGAUAACUUAGGACUCCACCACUUCACUUGUCUCAAAGAAUUUCGCAUAGAUGACUGCCGAAGUCUUCGAUCCAUGCCAGCGGAGGGCUUGUCAUCCUCCCUUUCCAAUCUAUUUAUCCAUGGGUGCCCUUUGCUGGCGAAAAGAUGCCAGCGGAAGAAAGGGAAAGAUUGGCCCCUGGUUUCGCACAUUUGCUGCAUCGUGAUUGAUUUUGUGCUCAUCACAUGAUCGAAUAUCUUGCUUCACAAGCCCUCCUUUUACCAAUAUCUCACUCAGGUAUCUCCCUUGACCCAACACUAAGUAAGCCAUUUAUUUAUUCACAACAUACUUCAGUCGCUCUAUGGUCAAGCACUAACAUCUGGCUGUAUUUGCCACAUGCUACUCUAAUAACGCUCCCCAGUGGAGAAUAUUUGUAGUUUCACGGGCAUUCCAUUGUUGUUCCUACUAUUGGGCUGCAUAAUUUGUUUAUCGGUUGCCGAGUUAUUUAGCUGAAGCAUCUGCUUUUCCCUACUCCAUUCUCUCUAUAUAAAUCACACUUCCCUUCCUAUACUUCAGGUGAGCUUCUGUCAUGGUCUUUAUAGUUUCGCCCGGGAAAUGAUUAUUCAUUGCUACUUUUGUCGUCGUCAGACUAUUUCGGCUUUAAGAUCUCACUCAUAUCAUGAUUGUCAACACCUACAAAUGCCAACUUAUGGAACUGUUUGUGCAUGAGCUAACAAUAGUAAAUAGAGCAAAGAGAUUCAUGGCCAUCUAGAGAAGGCCUAGCCUUGAUUAGGCUAUCCAAAUGAAAUUAUUUUUUUCACGAACUCUAGCAUGUCCUCAAGUUAAAAAGAGAGUAAAUUUGCUCUUAUUAACAAAUGCUUUCUGUCGUGUUAAGCUGUAUAAUAUUGUGAGGGAGAUGUAAAUUCUUAAACCAGGCAUGACUCAUGACUGACCUGUAUUACGCUUGCCAGAAUAGUGUGGUAUCAUGGGUGGAGUGUAUUUCGUUUGCUUUGUACUUUAUUUGUCAAUUUCUACAUAACAUCACUCUAAAGUCGUACAGUUUAACAAUUUCCCUGCCUACAUGUAGAAUUCUUAUCCAUGGAAUGUGAAAAUGGAACAGUUUAAGAGAUGCGAGUGACCCGGCAUUUGGUAGUGGCAUAUCCACUUUUGUCACUAAUUAUAUCGUGACAUCAACUAAAUCCAUCAAACUGAAGGACUAAAAAAAGUAUGUAAAAGUUAGGUUUUUAUUUGUUGAAGUCAAAAGUUUGCAUCUCAAAAUGCAAUUCCAUCAAAAUAUAUGGACCUAUUGUAAUUUACCCUAUUUUGAGAGAAUAUUUUUUUCUUUUGAGGGAACUCAAGCGGUGUUAUGUGCACUAAUAAUUGAGGAGCUUCGGAGGAUGGAGAUAGAGCUGGAAAUGUAUUGCUAGCUUUUAGCUUGAUUAGAGUAUCCUUUAGUUGUUAAUACUUGUCUUUCAGUCAUUGCAAGUGGAGUGCUUCUAGAUGGGGCUAGACUAACUAAUGUUCCAAAAAUACACGAUGCAUCCACGAUUGGUAAUACAAGCACAUGCUGUGUUGAGAUGCACGUAUGAGUUAUGUUAGAAAAAGUCCAACGACGUGGGAUUAGUAUGGUGUGGAAUAGUUAAUAUAUCUUAGUCGGGCAUUGCUUUAAGCUUUUGAGUAAAAGUGGCCUAAUUGGAUGUGUUGAAAGGUUUGGACUUGGGCUCUCUCUUGGCUUCUGCUAUUCGCUCCCAAGCCAAUCGUUGAUUGAUGGCAACCUGUUGGUGCAAAAGAAUGCUUGGAUUAAGGGGGACAUAUAUUGAACAUUGAGCUUACACGUAAGAGGGAGAUAAAAAUUGAUGUGGUGUAGAGUACUUAAUAUAUCUUAAUUGGCUCAUGAUUUAUUGGCUUAAGCUUUUGAGUAUAUGUUAUCUUCAACUAUAUCUAUUGAUGGGGUCAAUCUUGGGUUCUUUCUUGGCGAUCUCUCAUGUAAUGGUAUCAGGUUUCUACUAAGCUUUACCGGCAUGCUGUAGUGAAUGUCGGAUGCAGCUUUGGAUGGACCUAUUCUUCUCCCGCGAUAUCAAUAUAGUUUCAGUAACAAGGUUGUGGUGAAAAAAAGAAGGGUGCUUAGUCUUCACAAGACAAGCGGAUUAUGAGGAUCAAGAGCAGCAUAGGCAAUGAGAUGGUGGAAAUUGGCAAGGAAAACAAAUCCAAUUUUCACGCAGUCAGCAAACCAAGUGAUCGACUCCUAGAAAUGAAAGAAUCGAGGUCAAUAUAGAAGUUCCAAAAUUUCAUUGUUGGUUUGCAGCUUGCGAGAAAUUGUUUACCAAUGAGUGCAAGUGUAGAAGAGGCACACCAGUGUGAUUGCAACGUUUAGUUUGAUGCAGCGACAUGUCAUGUAAGAAGUACUUGCCUAAUGGUUUGGUUUGAUUGUUGUUUUUACAAGCUGAUACUUGUCGCAAUGGAGAAACAAGAAACCAUUCGAGGCGAAACGAGCCAACACGUGAUCUGGAAUUGUACAUCCCAGGUCUUUGAUGUUGUAGCAUGGGAAUUAAGGAUCAUAUCUGAAACUGAUGAUGGGCAUGAGAUGAGUGGGUUAUGGAGAGAUUGUUUGAUACAGCUUUUGGAUGGUAGCUAUGACCGUAAAACUGGAUGCUUCCGCUUUCGCAAGGUAACAUCUCAAAGCUAUCAUCUGGAAAUAGAAAGCCAUCCCAUCUAGCUUUUAGCUGCUACUGUGUGUUACCAAAUGGGAUGGUGGAAAUCGGCAAGAAAAACAAAUGCAUUUUUCAUGCAGUCAGCAAGCCAAGUGAUCGGCGCUUGGAAAUGUCAGAAUCGAGGUCAAUUAGGAGUAUCGAAAUUUCAUUGUCGAUUUGCAGCUUGUGAGAAAUUGUUAACAACAAGAGCAAAUGUAGGAGGGGCACUCAAAUGCGAUUGUAACGUUUAUUGUAACACAGCGACAGUGUAACACAACGACAUGCCGUGUGAGAAGUACUUGCCUAAUGGUUUGGUUGGAUUGUUGCUUUUUUCAAGCUGAUACUUGUCAAAGUGGAGAAACAAGAAAGAAUUCAAGGUGAAACGGAGCCAACGCAUGAUCUGUAGUUGUACAUCCCAGGUAUUCAAUGCUGUAGCAUUGGAAGCAAGGAUCGUAACCGAAACUGAUGAUGGGCAUGAAAUGGGUGGAUUAUGGGGAGAUUGUUUGAUACAGCUUUUCGAUGGUAGUUGUGUUAGUACAACUGGAUGCUUCCGCUUUCACAAGGUAACAUCUCAUAACUAUCAUUUGGAAUCAGAAAGCUGUCCCGUCUGGCUUUCAGCUGUUGCUGUGUGUUUACAAAUGAUCGCACUAUGAUUAUACCACACGGGCCCUGAGUGGAGCUUCAUAGCCUAUAUAGGAUCAGGAGGGGUUGGAGAAUUGAUUGGGUGAUACGUCUCUCUUUGGUUGAGUGGUUCUUCUCUUCUUCAAAAGCACCUCUAGUUCUCUGGGACAGACUUAAGCAAAGAGAGAAUAACUCGUGCAUGCAAGCAUGACCCAUUUCGUGCUAUAGGAGGAUGUGACAUAUAAUGAGUAAGUGAAUUUCGGGGUCAUGUACGAGUCCGACUUAUUUAUCAUGUUUGAGUUUGAAGUCGUCGAAUGUACAUCAAAAGUAGCCGCGUAUGUACAUAUAAGGACGAGCAUUCUGAUUUGUAUGUAUCACAUAGUUGAGAAAGAUGAAUAAAAUAACCUUCAUUUCCAAUUUCAAAAUUUCUAAAGACGUCAUUACUCGACAUGGAGAACCAGCACAAAAACCUUGUGCCUACGGAAGAUAGACAAAUAUUUUGAAAUGAUGUAGUGUAUUAUACUAAUCAACACCGACACAACUAGCAGUGGAUGCUGAUCCUCAUUUAACCCACAAAUUCACGAGUGAGAAGGGGAGUUGAAGCAUCUAAGACAGAAAAACUAACUGGCUUGCUAAAUGAUUUGGAUAUAUAGACAAACAAGAAUUGUGAUCUUCAUAUCACUAGCGUUCAUCCAACCAAAAUAACAACAGCAACUUGGACGCGGAUCAAGAAAAAAGACCUACUGCGAGACAAGGUACAGGACAGACGGGAGAGAGAGAGAGAGAGAGAGAGAAGGGGGACGUAAACUUAGCUGGCGGCAGCGGCAGUGGGACGCGCGAACCAGAGAGAGGUCAAAGAAGAUACCCAAGAAGGGGGGGAUUAUAUAUAGGAGGCUCGCGGGCUUCGAUUGGUCCGCCGGGAAAACGAAUAUUCCCAUAAUCUUUUUUUGGGGGUGUAAUUUGGGGGUUUAAUUAACUAGGAUGGAUUUUGCUUAGGCGUGUUCCGAUCUAUAAAACACUGACACUCUUUUAAAGUUUUUGUGUUGUGUCGGAUAUUUCGACACGUGUAAAAUACUCUCAGACACUUUCCGACACUCGGUCAACACGUGUCGGAAAAUUCGACACCUAGUCAACUUUCUUGACACUCUCCGAUACUCGAGUCGAAAUUUUGACAUACGAGUUUUCGACACGUGAUUUCGAUAUCAAGGUCAAUUUUAAAAUUUCAAUAAAUGAAAUGUCAAAAUAUAUAUGUGAAAAAACACAAUAAUAAAAAUAAUAAAUGGAAAAAGAAGAAAGACCUAGUAUUAUCUUCUCUUUUCACUCUCAUUUUCCGUGAUACACAAUUCACUACUUAAGUUUUUUUCUUCUCUUUCAACAUAUCUAACAUGUGAGUCCAAAAUAUGGAUCGCUUGUUUUUUCUCCAAAUUUUAUGAAUUAUUGAAAUAGAGUUAAAUAUAUCAAAUUGAAACAAUAAGUGAUACUAAUAAAUGGCGGAUUCAUGUUUUUAGCGUAUAUUCAUUCUAGGCUUUUCUAAAAAAUCAAAUUAAUUUGAUUGAAAUAACCAUAAAAAUGAUAAUUUAUUAUGUAUAUAUAAAAAUAUAUAUUUAAUAUACAACGUGUCCCAACGUAUCGAAAUUUUCUUUUUUUUUUAUAAACGACGUGCUGGCAUGUCGUGUCGUGUCUCGUGUCGCAUGUCAGUGUCGGUACUACUUAGGUACCGAUUACCCAAUCACAUUCGAAAGUGUAAGAUUAUAUUUCUUUCUAAAAAGAAAAAAAAAACUGAAAAAUUACCUUUUUAACGAAUCGAUAAAAGAAGAAAAUACAUGAAAUUCUUGAGGAAUGAACGAAUUUGGAAAUCUAUAUCGGAGAUGUGGAGGAAUCGAGAGAUCCUCUUCUGAUUUUAUUUUGUCGGUGGUUUUUUCUAUCUUUUUAUUUACCGAUGGACAACUAAUAUCCGACUUAAUCUAUUUAUAAAAUCUCUCUACUUUUUGCUUUUUAGUACUUGUGUUACCCUCUUUCUUUACGCGACCGUGUAACCAUAAUACAGGGGGGAACAGAUGUUCUUAAAUUUAAAUUGUUUUUGGUGGGGGAGGGGAAGAAUGACGUCAUGGCGCACGUCUGAUGUGGCGUGGGAUUGGUCGGAUCUCAUCGUCGUCGCGGUAGUUGGUGGUGCUGCCCAUGAAAAUGUAAUGCGCACGUUGUUUGGGACAUUAGCCUCAGCGGUCAUGUGGUCUGAUACUUGAAUCAAAGGCAAGAGCUACUAAGCGAGUUCCCGUUUCUUAUAUUCUCCACGGAUAGAUCUGAUAGAUCGCAGCUACCUAAGGCGCUUUGAAAGAAGUGGCCCCUUAGGCCGAGAAAGGAUUGACACCUCCUUCUCUAGCUUACAGCCUGCUUAUAGCUGCCCAUCAUCGUUCCGCCUGCUGGCCUAUUGGGAUUCACGGCUUGCUGAACCACGAAACGAAAAAGAGCUCCGGAUCAAGGAAAAGCCACAGGCCAAUGCCAAUCUCUUAGGGCAAGUUCUCUUUAAUCCGUCUUUGUAACAUCUGCUGAUGUACCUCAUAACUGGGCUGUACAUACAGGGAGCUCUCUACAGUAUCUAUGCUACCUGCUAGUUCCUGUGGCCCAUAGCAUCACACUUUACAGAGCAAGCAAAAACCGUGGGUUUGACCGGGUCAAACAUCGGACGUUGGAUCUUCUUGGGAUACAUCCCCCCUAGAAUAAUGCACGCGAGCGCCAAGUUGUGAUAUGGAGAGUUAUUUAUUUUAAUGUUUUCUGUUUUGAGACAUUAAUUUCCUGAUACCUUUUAAUUUUCGUAAAAAAGGACUUGUGCAAUGGAAAUUAGUCGGGAUGUGUGAAAUACGGGCUAAAUCUUGGAUUUCUGAAAUUGAAAUUGGAUGAAAAGAAAAUGCAAGUGAUUUGAUGAAAUGGAUAGACAUUUGGAAAUUGACGGUGAAAAUAUGUAGGUGGGCUCUUGGUGAGAAAAUAGGGAUAGAAAUCAAAGUGGAUAGUGGAUUUGGGGAUUGCAAACAUUGCAUCAUGAAAUAGUACUAGAAAAAUGAUUAUUGCAAUCCGUUUAUUCCACAAUUUUGAUGUCAAUUUAGCAAAUUAGUCCAUUAAUAUUGUGGCACGUGUCAUGCAUGAGCCCACCUAUCAGUCACCAUCUUCCCACUCUCUCCCUCCUUCACCAUCUCUCUCUCUCUCUCUCCUCCCCCCCCCCCCCCUCUUUUUGACCCUUUUUCCCUUCUCCAACCUCGAGCCCAAGCCACCGCCAUUGUCGGCCAUAGUGAAGAGCACGCUCGGAGUCUCUGGCGACAAGCUUGCCGCCGAUGGAUGCCUAUCCCUUUGCGCACCUCGCGGUGGGAAACCUUGAGCCAAAGAUCCCUAUCGCUGCCAAGCUCACCCACUUUGCCAUCUGCCCAUUGUCCUCUCCCCGCUUCUAUAAUAGUUUCGUUAAAUGGAUGCUUCUGUAAUAGUUUCGUUAAAUGGAUGGGAGAUGGCAAGAAAUUUUGCAAAGCGAGAAAAGCUCGAGACUUUUUGUUUUUGGAAUGAUUAUUUUUUAAGUGUGAAUGUAUGACGUGCCUAUGACACACCCGCAUUGAGAAAAUAUCAAGUGAGAGCAAGAUUUGAUGAGAAAUACUUCAUUAAACCUCUUAAGUUGCAUCCCAAAGAUACUAAAGCCCAAAAUAUGGGGGCAAAAACAAGAGGAAAUAGAAAGAAGCAGGAGAAAGAAGUCAAAUUUGUUCUUAUUUUUUAAAACCCAUACCCGUAUGAAGCCCAUUGAUCCUCAUCUUGGGCCGGGAGAGACCCGCCGUUCACCCGACCCGACUUGAUUUUCUUCCUCUCAUGUUUUCCCGGGAAAACCUUCUUCCCCUCUCUAGCUUUCUCCGGGAAAAUUUUCCGAUCCGUUGCAAACCGUUCAUCGUCUUCCGUUCUGUAACAGAUCUCGACGACCUGCGAGGCUUCGAUGGAGAUUCGCAUCGGAAGAGGCUACGCGUGGGCCAUCGCCGCCGGAUUCAUGGCCGCUCUCGCCGCCAUCUCCGCCAAGUUCUUCUCCUCUCAGGUAACCCAACCUCAUCCGCGCGCUUGUCCGUGCGAGCUAAUCCAUGAUUGUCCCCCGCCGUUCUGCUUUGGCACUCGAGAUUGUGCGAUCGUUCCAGCUAAUGCAAAUCGAAAUCUGGCGUGUGUGUUGGAUCGUAUCCCUAAUGUGUCUCCGGCCGAAGCACUCAGACGUCGCGUGGCGCGAUGUGAGCUGCGGCCGAUAGCCGGUGCGCGGCGAUACGUCCAAUUUUUGGUUGUUUGAGGAUUAGCGGGAGCUCUUAUUGAGGAAGCUCCUGCAAAUUCUACUACUUCUGUAGAGAGUAGUUGAAUAGAUUACCGAGAGGGAAGCUUGGAAGCUAUCCGAGCGGCCUGUCGUGGCAAUCGGUCGACGCCUGCUCAGUAGCAGAGGAGAGUUUCGAAAGUUGAGGGGACAAGCUUAGGAAAUUCGUGCAAAAUCUCAGUUUAUGAGAUGGGGAUGCGGACAGAGAUUUUUGGUGAAAUUUAAAAGAAGAUAGCAUAGGAAAUAGGAAACGCGCUGAACGCCUAGCAGGCCAGGCGGGGCCAGGCGGGGCCAGGUUGGGGCAUCUGGAGAACUCUGACUGGAUAUUUAGAAGGGAUUGCUAUUGUACAAUCAUCUUCUCGAAGGUGAGCUUCACAGACUGGGUUGUUAUCUGUCAGGUUUAUAUUUUCACUGGGAUGAAGAAGAAUAGCAAAGAGAGAGAAAACAGAGAACGAUUAUUUACUGUUGCUCUUCUUUUCCCCAGUGGGUAAGUGCAUCUGUUAUUUGUGGUGUCAUUAGCUGCGGAUGUCAGCAUUUCCUAGUCAACUCAGUCUGAGAUUGGUGCUUUUGCAGUGAACUAGUUAAGUCCUACCAUGAAUGGAGUUCGUUUGGUUGUAUCUACCUUAAACGUUAAAUCGUCAUUCCCUGGCACAAUUAUGUGAAAAGAAUUAGACAUUUGAUUCUCUUUGUGAGAAAAAUGUUUCAAUGUCUGAGUCCAGUUAAUUAGAUUCCUAGGACUUGACGAUGAGUGGUCACUGCACUGCACUAAAGCCUGUUAUUUGACAGGAAUCUUUUCCUCAUGCUCCUCCUUUUCCUCCAUUUCUUUUGACUGUAGGGGCAGAUUGUUUAAAGAUAUUUUUCACGUGUUUACUGAUUGUCUAAGAUGCACAGUUAAGCAUAUAUUCUGUCAUGAUACAUCAUUGAUGAAUUUUCCCAGUAACUGUUGCCAUUAGAUGGGUGUUGUUAAUAAAUUGUGCAGUUCAUGAACUCGGACAUAUUUUUCCUGGACUAAUACCCAGACAUCUGAAUCUGUUAACAGGUCAUUAAAUAUAGUUUUGCCAUACUGUUCAAUGUGGGGAUGUUAUGUCAACAGCCUAAAGAGUCUCUCGUCUCUUCAAGCCACAGUUACAAACUUCGCGACAAAUUUCCUCACUUCUGGAUUAGCUGGGUUCUUUUUGUUUGACGAGUCAUUGAGAUACCAGGUACUUUGAUUAACUAUUUUCCUGCCCUGUUCUGCAAAGUUAUAUACUUCAAGGUUUGAAUUUUUAUUGUGUUUAAAAUAAGAGGCAAGGUCUUAUUGUUACUGCCAGAGCUGUCAAAAGUAAUUUUCACUGAUACAAGUAAUAUCAUGACUGCAUUUAGUUCCCUCGAGAGAUAAAUUCUCUCUAUGGAAUCGGAACUGGUUAUCUUGAAAGUGGCAAGUAGGCUAAAAUUUAGGAGUCAAGUUAUGCAAUAGAUAACUUCCGAGUUUAUUAUCUCAUGAAUGCAUUGAGGGUGAGGAGGGUUUUAUAUUUCAGAUGAAAGCUUCUGAGAUCAAUGUGGUUGCCAAGGAAAAGAGUUAGCUCGCUUCAUGCAAACCUGUUGUUCAGGGAUUCUUGGCGUAGUCUCCACCUUGCGAUAAAAGGUGUCAAGUACUUCCUAGUUCCUGAUAAUGACUUGAGUUUUAGGUUUAAACAUUGCUAUCUUGACUCACAUUAUGGUUGUGAUAUGGUUAUGAAAUUGUGAUUAAAAGGAUGCAGUGAUUGGAGAUUCUCACUCCACUUAGUCUAUGAAUGCAGAUUCACAAAAUUCACAUGAAGUCCCGUUCUUAGUGGUUUGCAGGUGCACUUUUCAUAGUGAUUGGUGUGCUAAUUCUCAGCAAAUCAAGUAUUGAGAAGAAGACUAGAGUUGAUUGAAAGUUCUCAGUUUAUGAGAGAUACCAUACGCCAUGCUUGAAGGUUGCCCCCUUUUGCUACUGCCAACAGUUGCUCUGCUGCUUUGGUUUAUGCUUUUCUUUCCCUUCUCCCUUUUAAGUGCCUGAACUGCCUGUUCUCAUUUAUCUUUUGUGGAUUUGCAGGUGACUUAGUAGAGAUCAGAAGUUCCAUUCUUGUGCCACUCUCAAGGAAAGGAGAAAAUGAAGUUGAGAAUUGAGGAUAUAAAGGGUGUUUCCUUCCUGGCCGGUGAUUCCGUGGGAACGAUCACUACUUGUCGUGACUGGCAGCACCAAGGAUGCUAUGUUGUUAAUGCCAGGAUUGCUAUGUUACUGUUAAUGGUGACUGUACAAUAUAGCUACAAGGCAAGCUGCAAAGAAGACAGAUUUGUGUUUAGAGAUGGGAUCCUAUCCUGCCUUUUCACCAUGCCAAACGAGUAGGCUAAAACAUUGGUAAGUGAACCCUAAUUUAGGCGCUCUCGAAAGGCUGAAUGUGUCGUGCGCGCUUCGUGAGCGUGAAGCUAAAAGAUCAUCUUUACAUUGAUAUAAAUCAAGGCCUUGAUGUGAGCUUAUGCCGACAUGUGCUAUAAUUUAAAAAAAAAAAAAAAACAAUGCGGAGGAUAUAAUGGGCAUCGGGCAUUACUGGGGCAAGGUUGUCCUCUGACUUACCCCGAACUGCUCUUUCUUUAACACCGUCCAUUCUUUUUGCUCUUUAUUAAUUUAUAUAAUAUGAAAAAAAAAAUUGAUUUUAUUGUCUAAUUGAAAUUUUGUCGAGAAAAAUAUCCUUUUUUUCAAUUUCUGCUUUGACAAAAGAGAAAUGCGCUAGUUGGAUCUUUUAAUUACUUUGCCGAAAAGGUAGUUACGUUAUGGCGUGUGGUACUCAUUGCAAUAAUUGGAUAAUGAAAAUAUAUCCAUGGGUGUGGCUCUAUAGAUGAAAUCAUGCUGUUCAAUUGUUAUUAUGGUAAAGGAAAUAAUAUCUUUUCCUCGGAAAACUCGGUUAAAUGUGUGAUUUGAAACAUGACAAUGUGAGGCGAAAAUAAUAGCUUUUUUCAUCACCAACCUAAACUUAAAAUUCAUAAAAUCAAUUUGGCGAAAAGAUUGGGAAAUUGUUAAAUUUUACAACUUUUUGGGUCCAAUUGUCGCAAUAAAUAAUUAUUCCGCCCUUUAGAUGACACAUAUAUGCCCUCUAAUAAACAUUGCAAAUACAGUAAUUUUGAUGUUGUAUUAGCAAAAGCAUGAUAUUCAGCUUUCGUGCUCGAUGGAGCGACGAUGGUCUAUUUAUUCUUAUGCUAUAAGAUAAGUGAGAUACUUAGAAAGAAAUAGUAGCCUGUAAUGAAGUGAUAAUCGAGAGGGUCUCCUGACUAAUCAGCGUCUGAAUAUUUUGAUGAGUCCUUUUAGUUAAAAAGAUCGAACCAAAAAAUGAUCUCCACUCAAUCCAUGAAUAAUGGUUAAGGGACUUUUUGUCGGGGAAUACACUCAAAUCCAUUAAAUUACCAACCAUUGAAUUACCAAUUUUUAUCCAUGUGUUUUCCUAUUUGUUUUUUUUGGUAAAGGGUAAAUAUGUGUUUUCCUAUUUGUUGAUCGUCAAUUAAUACAUUCUUUUGUUUUAUCAAUUGAUAGAUAUAGUUACAUGUUUGAUGUUGUGUAGGGAGAAUGCUAAAUCAUAAAGAUGAGACAAAACACAGGUUUUGGCUUAAAUUUAUUCGAUCUUGUGUAGGGGCAAGCUGGAAACCUUAUUGCUAAACUUAAAUAGCUCAAGGUCGUGCUCCACUUGAAAUUAGUCGAGGCGAUCAAUCGUCUAGUCCAAUUUGAAUUAUUUGCGAGUAAUUUGAUGCAGUUGCACCAAAAUUAUUGGGUCCUCAUCGNNNNNNNNNNNNNNNNNNNNNNNNNNNNNNNNNNNNNNNNNNNNNNNNNNNNNNNNNNNNNNNNNNNNNNNNNNNNNNNNNNNNNNNNNNNNNNNNNNNNNNNNNNNNNNNNNNNNNNNNNNNNNNNNNNNNNNNNNNNNNNNNNNNNNNNNNNNNNNNNNNNNNNNNNNNNNNNNNNNNNNNNNNNNNNNNNNNNNNNNNNNNNNNNNNNNNNNNNNNNNNNNNNNNNNNNNNNNNNNNNNNNNNNNNNNNNNNNNNNNNNNNNNNNNNNNNNNNNNNNNNNNNNNNNNNNNNNNNNNNNNNNNNNNNNNNNNNNNNNNNNNNNNNNNNNNNNNNNNNNNNNNNNNNNNNNNNNNNNNNNNNNNNNNNNNNNNNNNNNNNNNNNNNNNNNNNNNNNNNNNNNNNNNNNNNNNNNNNNNNNNNNNNNNNNNNNNNNNNNNNNNNNNNNNNNNNNNNNNNNNNNNNNNNNNNNNNNNNNNNNNNNNNNNNNNNNNNNNNNNNNNNNNNNNNNNNNNNNNNNNNNNNNNNNNNNNNNNNNNNNNNNNNNNNNNNNNNNNNNNNNNNNNNNNNNNNNNNNNNNNNNNNNNNNNNNNNNNNNNNNNNNNNNNNNNNNNNNNNNNNNNNNNNNNNNNNNNNNNNNNNNNNNNNNNNNNNNNNNNNNNNNNNNNNNNNNNNNNNNNNNNNNNNNNNNNNNNNNNNNNNNNNNNNNNNNNNNNNNNNNNNNNNNNNNNNNNNNNNNNNNNNNNNNNNNNNNNNNNNNNNNNNNNNNNNNNNNNNNNNNNNNNNNNNNNNNNNNNNNNNNNNNNNNNNNNNNNNNNNNNNNNNNNNNNNNNNNNNNNNNNNNNNNNNNNNNNNNNNNNNNNNNNNNNNNNNNNNNNNNNNNNNNNNNNNNNNNNNNNNNNNNNNNNNNNNNNNNNNNNNNNNNNNNNNNNNNNNNNNNNNNNNNNNNNNNNNNNNNNNNNNNNNNNNNNNNNNNNNNNNNNNNNNNNNNNNNNNNNNNNNNNNNNNNNNNNNNNNNNNNNNNNNNNNNNNNNNNNNNNNNNNNNNNNNNNNNNNNNNNNNNNNNNNNNNNNNNNNNNNNNNNNNNNNNNNNNNNNNNNNNNNNNNNNNNNNNNNNNNNNNNNNNNNNNNNNNNNNNNNNNNNNNNNNNNNNNNNNNNNNNNNNNNNNNNNNNNNNNNNNNNNNNNNNNNNNNNNNNNNNNNNNNNNNNNNNNNNNNNNNNNNNNNNNNNNNNNNNNNNNNNNNNNNNNNNNNNNNNNNNNNNNNNNNNNNNNNNNNNNNNNNNNNUUUUAAAAUUUUUUGAAUAUUUUAAAUUUAAUUUAAUUAAUUUUAUAUAUUAUUACACGUAAACAUGAAACGGCGUCGUUUUUGCAUUUCUCGCCAUGUCAGCGUGCAAAACGACACCGUUUUGGACCAAGCUCGCCGGAAGUCGCCAUGUAAGCCAGUUAGCCGGAUCUUCGUUGGAGUAGCACUUAAGUGUCCCAUUAACUUCAAAACUGGCACUCAAGUGUACCAUUUUAAAGUUAUGGCACUUAAGUGUCCAUCGGUGCCAAGUUAUGGCAUUUGCGUUGUACUUCUGCCUGGUGAUAGCUUAACUAAUUAGCAAUGAUCCUUGUGCACGUGCUUUGAAUCUGUCAAUGCAUGAUUGCAUCGACGAUAACUUAUUCUAAAGGUGCCUAUCGAGACUGGGGAAAGGUAACUAAUGACGGGUCCCACGUCUCGGAGGAACCGUUGAAUUAUCGAAGUUGGACCCAUCCAGCUAUAGUGAAUUCAUAUCCAACAAGCACUAGAAUGAUAAAUAUUCCGGUACAUUGGGUUUUGUUAAUUCGAGGGAAUUAAUUAAGUUGAGUAAAAUUAGGAAUGACAAUAUUCAACAAGUUCUGAAAAUUACCGUAGUACCCGCUCUAAUAAGUGAGAAAUUUUAUGUUUGUGGACAAAUUAUCGAUUCUUGAUCACAUAUAAGAACAACUCAUCCGUACUUGAAAGAACGCAAAUUCAGGUAUCGAUAUUUAACUUAGGCUUAUCUAAGUGUCAGUUGCCCUCAAAUGUGUGUUGUGAUAACAAAAUAGGUUGUUUGAGAGGAUAAUGCAUAUAAAAUUGCACGUCAAUGUUCCUUAGACUGUAUAUGUUUUAACUCUCUACAGUAAAGAUGCUCAUGAGAAAAGGCAUUAAUAUUGUAUCUUGUGAUCAUCCGCCACAUGUUUUGCUGAACUUAUGAAAAAAAUAUCCGGUCUUUUCUAGAAAAUUCUGCCUUUAAGAUGGUAAGAUUAUUUCCGGUGCGAGACUCCUCGAUUCUUUAGUUCCAUGUGCCAUUUUCAAUCCUAUUUGCAUAUAAGAGAAGGUAGCAAAGCAUCUCAUACAGCUCUCAAAUGUUUAAAAUUUUUAAUUGAAUUUUCUAACAUGGUAUUAUAAUCAGGUUUUGCCUCACAGUUGUUUCAGCUAUGAGGCUUUCCUUUUGUCAGUUUCAUGUGUUUUUCUUAUUUCUGUUUCCAUAUGAGAUGGGGUAUUAAUGUAUCCAAUACUGCUUUGCUUAUGAGGUGUCAAUGGGUUUUAUAUAUAUAUAUAUAUAUAUAUAAACNNNNNNNNNNNNNNNNNNNNNNNNNNNNNNNNNNNNNNNNNNNNNNNNNNNNNNNNNNNNNNNNNNNNNNNNNNNNNNNNNNNNNNNNNNNNNNNNNNNNUCAUUUCUUUUGAUUGCAGGUCACAAAUAUUGACAUCCUUCACACUUACUUAUAGCUCAAGUAUGGUGCGAGUGAUGAUGAUCACAUGUCACUGAUGAAUGAAUAAUGAUCGGAGGACAACAUGGCCCGGAAAGAAACUUCCUGGUUGGCUCUUUUGGAGUUGGUGGCCUGGCGUGGUUGGGGUUUUAAGAAGUCUUUUCUUAUAAUGAAGUGCUUGCUCGUGUCGACUUUCGACAAUUAAUUGAUCGUUCGUGGCUAUAUCCUUCCUUUAUUCGCUGUGUAAGAAAUCGCCUAGAUCUUUGAUUCAACUCUAGGGCAUUUUUUUUUCGUGUUCAACGGUUGCUCUUGCUUAAUCAAGUGGAAGAGACCUUUUCGAAUUCAUUUUUUAUCAGUAUUUCCCCCCUCGAUUUUCAUGUGGUGUGGACCGCGUGAUGCUCAAGCUCGUGAGUAAAAUUAACUAUGUGGAAUUUAAUAUUAGCUUAAAAAAAUCAUAUACUAAACUGACCUGCUAGGUUGUUUGUAAAAAAUAAACAAAUUAAUCAUAUUUGAUUCUUAAAUUAUUGUAUUAGGUGACUCACCAAAAAUUGCAAUGUAUCUUUUCCUCUCGAAUCUUAGCUUCGUCAACACUAUAGUGAGAUUUUAACUCACCCUCAAUUUACUCCAAACAUGAAAAGCUACUAUAUUCCCUUGUCAAGUGGUAACUUACAUCAAUGUACAAAUGUGAAAUCUAUCUCCUCUAUCAAUGUACAAAUGCGUAAGUUUCGAGAGUGGGUUGCGACUCCCACGCCCUGCAAGAGGCAGGGCACAAGUCUGCGAGUGAGUGUAGAGUAGGCAUAGAGUAGGACUGACCAAAAAAAAAUAAAAAAUGCGCGCCACGUCAUCCACUGACCUAGUGUGCACAAAUCAAUGAAAUACCGUCAUGUGUCCCCGAGCGGGACCCGCUGAAAAAUGAAGGUGCUGAUUUUUGGUCGGCUCGGCUUGGCUCCAUCGUAUUCCUCCCGCUCAAAAUUUUUUCUCUCUCCUCACUCGAAUUUGCAGAUUUUUCUCUCUCUCCUCUCUCGCCUCUCUCACUCUUCCCUCCCUCUGUCUUUCUCUCUCCGACGAGUAGGACGCGACCUCCCAGUCUCUUUGUGCCCUCCCUCUUUCCAACUGGCAAACCACCGCCAGCAACCGACGAACUACCGCACCGGACUGGCGAGAGGACCACGACCUCCCUCUCUCUCUCUACCCUCCCUCUUUCCAACCGCCGAACCACUGCACGGGACCGACGAGAGAACCGCGAGCAAUCGACAAACCACUGCAAGGGACUGGCAAGAGGACCGCGACCUCCCUCUCUCUCUGCCCUCCCUCUUUCCAAUCGGCGAACCACCACGAGCAAAUCAAACCAUGGUUUUGCCUGGUUUUUUUUUUUUGGGAAGAUUUUUUUUUUAAAGGCUGAGGGGGUUGGGCUUCUUUGUUCGUGUUGGCCAGACGACGGAGAAGGCGAUCAUCAAAAAGGAGAAGCACCUGGAAGAGGAGAUUGAUGAGGACGAGGAAGUCAUCUACAAAAUUGAAGUUCCGGCGAACAGGUGACUGCGAAGCUGAUUCGGCAUUUGGUUAGGGCUGCGCAUGACAACGCUUCUGUUCCCGAGAAGAGUUUUUUUUUUUUUUUCAAAAAUAGUUAUUUUCUAUUUCUGCUCCGGGGAACAAUUUCCGAAUAAAAGAACCCGUUUGGUAACGACACAAAAUUUCUACUCUUGGAAUAGAAAAAGAAUAGAAAUGUGUUUGGUAACGCAACAAUUUCUUUUUUGUAUUUAAUCAUUUUUUUUUCUUGCUAACGGAUCGCCGCUGCCGCCCACCACCCGGAUCGCAGCCGACGAUCGUCAGCGGCCGAUGGGCUUCCGGCGGUGACGGUCGGCGGCUGGCGGUCGUGUAGUGGUGGCGGCUGGCAAGCCGAUGACGGCGACGGGCUGCGGGCGGCGGUGGCGACGGCGACGGCGGCAACCGACGAUGGCGGCCGGUGGCGACCGGCGGCGGCGACCGGCGGCGGCGGCGUCCGGCGGCGGCAGUGGGCGGUGGCUCCGAGCGGUUGACGGUGGUCGCGGCAAGAAAAGGAUAUAAAAGAAAAUUAAAAAAGAAAAUCAGCUUAUUUCUAGAAAUUAUUCCCGGGAACAAAAAACAACUUUUUUUUGCUUCUCAAAACUGUUCCUGGAAACAAAAAAUUAGAGAAAUUGUUCCCAGGAACAAAUGUUUUACCAAAUAGGUUUCUAUUCUUUUUUUGUUCUAGGGAACAAAAGAAUAGAAAUUGGAAGAAACGGGAGCAUUACCAUGUGCUACCUAGAUGUUGUGUGUUUCAAAUGGGUUUUGGAGCUGUUUCGCGAGUCGUGGGGUGAAUUUUGGUUCGGGGGGUUUAAGAUGCUAGUGGUCUGACUUCGGAUGGGUUAAAAUCUUUCNNNNNNNNNNNNNNNNNNNNNNNNNNNNNNNNNNNNNNNNNNNNNNNNNNNNNNNNNNNNNNNNNNNNNNNNNNNNNNNNNNNNNNNNNNNNNNNNNNNNNNNNNNNNNNNNNNNNNNNNNNNNNNNNNNNNNNNNNNNNNNNNNNNNNNNNNNNNNNNNNNNNNNNNNNNNNNNNNNNNNNNNNNNNNNNNNNNNNNNNNNNNNNNNNNNNNNNNNNNNNNNNNNNNNNNNNNNNNNNNNNNNNNNNNNNNNNNNNNNNNNNNNNNNNNNNNNNNNNNNNNNNNNNNNNNNNNNNNNNNNNNNNNNNNNNNNNNNNNNNNNNNNNNNNNNNNNNNNNNNNNNNNNNNNNNNNNNNNGUUCAUGAUAAUGUCUUGAACGGGUGAUCUUGAAUUAGGUUCAUGUCCAACAUUUGUCAUGCCUAGAUGGGUCCAUCCCCAAAUUUAUAGGUAUUAUCGUAGGCAAGAAACGUAACAAGCCUUUUAGAUUUGGUCAGCAAGUUGCAAUAUUGACUCCUUAAUGCCAGUUGGCUUUAUUUGAAUCAUGUCAUCUAGAAACUUCAUUAUUUAGUUAUAAGUCAAGUUUUUUAAAGAGAUGACUGGUUUAUCAUCAUUUUAGUCUGUAUUGGUAAUUAAUGAUUAUUCUUCUUGAUAAAUUCGUGCACGUACUGUAGAAAUGACUAUACUAUUAUAAUAAUAAGGUAUCCUCUGUGAAAUACACAGAUACGACUUGCUUUGCCUCGAAGGGCUUGCUCAGGCCCUACGUGUAUUCAAUAAGCAGGAGGAGACACCUCAAUACAGUCUUCGUAACAUCAGCAGGGGAUCAAUGCUUAAGAUGAAUGUAAAACCAGAGGUACUAAUAUGUGAGGAUUGAUCUGUCUAGAUUGAUCUAUGCUGGAAUCAUUUAUUACUUGAGUGACCAUUAAUGUGUUGCAGACCUCACAAAUCCGUCCAUAUGUUGUUUCUGCUGUCUUAAGACGGAUAACAUUUGAUGAAGCCAGUUAUAACAGCUUCAUUGAUCUUCAAGACAAGCUCCAUCAGAACAUUUGCCGGUAUUAAUUUUUGGAUCUUUAACAUGCAGCAUAAUACCUGUUUUCCUUCUCUAUUUCCAGAAACGACCUUUGCCGGAGUGGCGGGAGGACAACACAUUUUUGGGAAGCUUUUACUGUUUCAUUUGAACCUUAAAUGUAAUGAAGAGCGACCGUGAUCUUACAUUGAGAUGCAACGUCCUAUAUGGCUUGUCCAGAGCAAUGGUUUUAAAAAAUUUCCAGCAUGCAGCCAAUUGUCUUUGCAAGCGUGCAUUUUAGUGUGAUACAAUAAUGUUACUUUAUAAAUUAAAGAUGUGAGGGAAGCAUUAUUUAUUUUUAUUUUUUUCAAAAUAAGUCAUGGCUUCACUGUUGCUUAUGCUCUAUGUGCUCAGUAGGGGCCAUAUAUAUUAUUACCCUUAGGAGGGCUUUAAAUUGUGAGAAAUGCCUGGAUGUGAAGAGAGGACUCCGCUGAGUUGUUUUGAAUAAUUUGGUGAAGUGGUGAUGAUAGAUAUGUUGCUUGAACUAUUUGUUGCUUGAACUAGUUUUCAUUCUCGAGAUCUAUAUUCAAUUUGAUAUUUUAUUUGCAUGUAAUAGAUGCCCAGCCCCUCAAUCCCUCCACUUAGUACAUCAGAUGCUUGUGCUUAUGCUAGAUCCUCAAAAUGUUAUGCUUGGAUUGACAUGCUCGGAUUCUCUCGAUAUUUUAGGCGAAGAACACUGGUUGCAAUUGGGACUCAUGACUUGGAUACGCUAGAAGGCCCCUUCAGCUAUGAGGUGUGUGUUUGAACUAAUCGCCUAAACUAGAAUCUAAAAUGAAGAAUUCUGCACAUGUCCUACUAUCCUCGCUUGAAGCUAAGGCCCAGCUAGAACUUAAAUGGAAGAUUUUCAGAUUGCUGGCAUAAUGGAUCUUGUCAUGAUAGAGUGUUAUCCAGGCUAGAAGCUUGUGCUCACCUAUUCUUUCCUUUUUUUCUCUCUAUAUAUUUAAAUGCCUGAAGGAUUCCCUCUUGAAGCUUCUUUCUACCCCACACCUUGCCUCAGCAUCUAUUACAUGUUUUCGAGGAGUUGCAGCUAGCUAGACAAGCUUUGACCAGUUCAAGUUUUGUCAUCCUCUGAGCUUGUCCCAGAGGAUGGUAUUACUAUAUAUAUCCGAGAUACUCUAUUUUGAUCCCAAAAAUUCAUAGUAUUAUGUUUCCCUAUCAGGAGUGCUCAUCUACUAGAUAAAGCAUAGACGAAACAGACAUGACAAGGAAUUGCACAUUUGGUUUAGCUUAAUAUGUAUGAGUCAUAUAUUUGCUACAGCUAAAUGUUUCUUCUUAAUAUGUCAAGUUAUAUAUCUGCUACGGCUAAAUGUUUCUUAGAGCAAAGUAUGAUAAAAUGUUACGAGAAGUGCAGCGUAUCACCGACUCAUGUUCCUUUUCCUUUGGUCUCAGGCUUUGCCGCCUUCCAGUAUAAGUUUCGUCCCCUUGAAGCAAGUAGUUUCAUGAUAAAGAUUGUAUUUUUCUGUUCAUGCAUGUGCCAUGAGUCUGAUCUGUAGUGAAGAUCUAUGUAUUUGUAAGGAUUUUGUUAACUGUUCUCUAGGGGCAAUUCUUAAGUAGUUGAUUAAGAAAUUUUUUAUGGUUUUCAAUUGGAUGCACAGAUUGUUCUUGUGGUGUUUGUAAUUUUUUCUUUGGAAAGUGAAUCAUAUUAAAUAAGUAUGCUUAACAAGUGCCCUUUUGUUAACAGUGCUCUAAGGAGACUUACUAAGUAACUAAAAAGGAAAUUUUGUAGUUUCCAAUGCAUUAGCGUGUUAUUUCUAAUUACUAUUUUGCAAAGUGAAUUAUUCCAAAUUAAGUAUGCUUAACAUGUCAAUGCCACUUUUGAGUUCAUGAGAUUGCUUUCAUUUAUAUAUUUGUUUUGUUUUCUNNNNNNNNNNNNNNNNNNNNNNNNNNNNNNNNNNNNNNNNNNNNNNNNNNNNNNNNNNNNNNNNNNNNNNNNNNNNNNNNNNNNNNNNNNNNNNNNNNNNGCUGAUGAACUAAUGGAAUUUUAUAAGGUGGGUCCUCAAUAGCUGCUCCUUUUAAUGGUCUUUUUAUAACUGUCAUAUUUGUUUUGUUACAUAUAUCUUAUGCUUGGAACUUGCUUAUUCAGUGUGCUAGUUGAUAUCUUCCUGUAAAUGAAGAAUUAUGUAAUAGUUCCUCAUUUUUGCCAUGUUGUUUUACCUGUUUUCGCUACUUUGUUGCAGUCAGAUUUGAAAUUGAAGAAGUUCUUGCACAUAAUAGAGAACUCGCCUGUGUUCCCUGUUAUCUAUGAUUCAAAGAGGUAUCUUGGUUUCUUCAUACACUCUUCUUUGUAAUGUGAGUUCCAUGUAUAAAUAUGAAGUGUGUAUAUUGAUGUUAAGGGAAAAUAAUAAAUAACCACUUAAAUGUAAUGACAUGUUGACUUAGUUUUGAUUCAACCAUUGCCACUUAAGUCAUUAAUAUUGCAACCUUGAGUUAUUUGGGGGUUGAUCGAUGCAUUAGGUUCAAUUUGCAAAGAGAAAAUAAUCUAGGCCUUCAAGCAUCUUCUGCCACAUUAAGCCACUAAGUGCUAGGUCUCGUUUAUGAGUUGAAGUGAGAUCAAUUGUUCUGUUUAGGUGUCACUAGUGUUCUCAAAAGCAUUGGAGUUGUCUGGGCAGGCACCCAAUGUGGCGACUUCAAAAGCACCUCAAGUAAGGCUGGUCAUUCUCUGAGGCAUUCCCUCAAGGAAAAAGAUGAAAUUAGGUCAUGUUCUUUGACCCUUUUUGUUCCUUUCUCUAGACAAAACUGAGAAAGGAGGUAUAUUAUUUUAGUAAAAGGGCGAAGUUUUUAGAAAAGCAGCUGUCGACUCUACAUUAGCACAGUCGGAGACUUUCAAAGCCUAGUCUUAUGCCUAUAACAUUACUUUUAAGAGAGCCAGGGAAAAAGGUGAAAAUGUGUAGUCUUCUAUACAUCUUUGCUUUUCUUUGACCAUUGUCUUUCCUAUGUACACCUUUACACUGAACUUAGCAGUCCAUUCUUAUUUCAUAUCUCUCUCCACCGGUUGCUAGGUACCAUAUCGGGAAAAAGAACUUUUGCAUGCGGUGUCACAAAAUUUGAUAUGGGAAAGCAAGGGCCUAAUGUCAAUAAGAAAGAUACUAUAAUUUAGUACAAAAAUUAAUUUUUCCCGGAAUAUCAUUUCAUGACUUAAGAUCUACCUUGCUAAUACAUUCUUUGGGUUCAUUUAAAGAAAAGGUUAAAAAAAUUUCUUGCUAAAGGAUUCAUCCCAAACUUUUAAUGUAACAUGUCCCUUAUUUUAGGUUAGGGCCUUGCUUGACAACAGUGGAUGAUAUUUUCUUUUCUGACGUCCUGAAUAAUUAGAAAUGAUACAGUUGAUUGCUUCAUAAAUUCUUGAUUAGCUGUGGACUAAUGUUUAUUGGUAAUGUAUUAAUUAGGCAACAACCAAUUAUGGUUGACCAUUAAGCUGUUUAUCCUGUUUGAACAGGGGUCAGCUUUUUAAAAAGAUUGGUUUCAAAUUUUUUUGCACAUGGGGUUCUAAUCUAGCUCAUUCAGGUCCAAUGAUAUUUGGUUACUCCAGUUGCGGAUAGAUUACACUGUUGCCAUUGGCUUCACAAUUUUUGUUCCCAUUGAAUAUGCUCAAUGUGAACAAAUUGUAGUGACUAUUUAGCUGUCAUAGCCAAACAGUGUGGGGAAAGUGAUGCUUCAUCCACUUUUUGGGUGUCUUGCAAUCAACAAUUUGACAGAUAUUUGUGAUGUAUAGUCUGAUUGAUUAGCGAGCAUCUACAUUGACUGAAAUGAUACAGUUGACUAAGCUUCUUAUCACUGAAAAGGCUAAUUUUUUACUCCAUGCAGAACUGUGCUGUCUCUGCCGCCAAUUAUCAAUGGUGCACAUCCGGCAAAAACUUUAAAGACAAAAAAUGUUCUCAUUGAAUGUACUGCGACGGACUUAACAAAGGCUAAGAUAGUUCUAAAUACAAUGGUGAGCAUACUCAAUUGUUUGUCCUUUUCUCUACACCCAUCCUUCUGUAUAGAGGACUAAUGCAGGCAAGUGUUUUCCUUUAGGUGACAAUCUUCUCAGCAUACUGUGGAAGAAGUAUGAAGUUGAACCAGUUGAAGUGAUAUACUCUAAUGGGGAGUCAUUCGUUUAUUCUGAUUUGUCCCUAUACAAUAUGGAAGUGUCCUUAUCUUAUGUAAACGAUUCAAUUGGAGUCGCCUUGAAAGCUGAAGAGGUAUUGUGAAUAUUCAUUUCAAGCUGGAGUUUAAAUGUUCGCAUUAGGUGGAUGUGAGCUUAUAUUAGAGUUGGUUGGUUAUAUUAUUCUCUCAUCAGUUGAGUUAAAUUUUUUGUUCGCCAUUUGCUAUUGUGCUAUUUUGUUGCUACAAUGAUAUCUAACAAUGACCUUGUUUUAUUUAUUGGGUGGCCAUCUCUCUCGCUCGCUCUGUCUCUAUCUCUCACCUGAAUGGUGUGCGGUGGUCGCCUUUGUAUCUCUCACGGGUGCGUGUGAGAUGGAGAAUCGAUUACAACGGUCUUAAGUGACCAUUGCGACGGAGACGACCGCCACCAUGGGGGUCAUUGGGGUGUUGGUGUCGCCCGCCAUCGAGGAGGACAUCACUGUUGUCCUAGAGUUUCGGGGGCAGUCAUUAGGUCUAGGUUUUCUUUUUGUUUGUUUGAUUUCUUUUCUAAUCCUAGUAUUUUAUAUUGUAAUUUUUCAGUAAUUUAUAUUAGAAAGCAUCCGUAGUACGUACGAUUAUAUAUGAAAUGAGUCGUCGGAUAAGUGAUUUGAUAUAAAGAAGUUCGAGGAUUGUAAUUUUCAAUCCCUCAUUUUGUUCCAUCUAACUCCAUGCUGCCCUUUGGUCAAACACAGCUUGAUCCUAUUUUAGAACAGAGAGAUCUCAAUCUGAGAUUGCUGACUCUAUUUUGUUUAGAUAGAGAUAAGGGUAAAAAAUGGACUCUCGAUGAUAACAACGUAAGAAGAGAAAACAAAAGAGAAGACCUAUUUGAUUUUCUUUAGAUAUUCACUGAAGAAAAAGAAAGAAAAAUCGAAGGGAAUCGGUCACUUUGUAUUCGAUUUGAACAGAGAAAAGGAAAAACAGUUCUGGUCUAGGACAAAGAAAGAGGAAAAACUCAAAUGAUUUUAUGUCCCCUCGGCAGUCCUUCCUAUCCAACGGGAGACCAAACCAUUGUUGAACUUAGAGGCGUGCCACCAUCGCCGCCACGGACAGUGGUAGGUGGCAACCGCUAGUAGAGAGGGCUGAAAUGCGGCAACAUAUCACUCUUAAGAGGUUUCGGAUUUCCCUUUCUUGCGUUUUUCCGCUUAAAGGACACACAAGAAGGCGCUGAACCAAAUUAUGAAUUCACUUAGGCAAAGCAACUGCUAUAGUCAUACAGGCUAAUCAUGGGUGUGGUUCUAGGGGGAUUUACAUAAAAAGCUCAGAUCUACUCAAAAUCGGCAAUUUUCUCUUGUUUAUGAUCUGUAUGCACUACUUCAAAACAGGGAGGGAGGUGGAUUUCCGCUACACUGCAUUGACUCGAGUCUAAUGCACAGUCUAAUGCACAGGGAGGUGGAUUUCCGCUACCCUGAGUAAACACCAAAUAUGAAAUGGAUAGCUAUAUGUACAUUCCAAAGAUUGAUCCCAGCAAUUAUAACUAUUUACAUAUUCCUCUCCUGAAACCCCCCGGCGAAGAGAGGGAAGCAAUGAGUUUGAACAUGCUGUACACUUGAUAAGAAUAGACAACUUUACAGUGACAAGAAUUGCAGCUAAGAACUUCCAUAGGCAGUAUCGGGGACAAUUGACCAAGCUGUAUGACCACUCCAGCUUCUGAUACAUGUCUGCGAGUGCGUUAUAAAGGAUGGCAGCAGCUGGCGGCCUCGGCAACGAACCAAGUAGUAUGUCCAAUGCAUUUAUAGACUGGAUGCCAUAAAAUAGGUAAUUUUCUCUUGUCCGCGUUGUCAUGACACUGCCUUGAAGGGAGCAACCAACAAAAGCACCUGCCAAUUAUUUUAUGAAAAAGUUGAGAACAAUUAAAGACCUUCAGAAAGUGAAACGAGCCCCACAGACUGCUGGCAAUGAAAUGAUAGGAAAAUGAGAAAUACAAAUUCUAGACCUCUCCAACUUUUUACCAUGAGCGUCUCAAUUUAAGUAGGAUCUAUGACGAAUCAAGCUCAGUGUUCUCUCAAAUGAUGGCUUAUUCAAAAAUAUCCCUGCAGAAGCUUUCUCAACUAAUGUCUCUCCCUUUUUCCCUUUCUUUGGCACUAAGAAAAGGGCAACAAGCAAGCUUCUCAAGAAAUGCUCUUUGUAGAAACUUUUUCAACCAAUGAUCUAAUGAAAACAGCUUCACAUAGCUUGAAAUGGUAAAGAGUAUCAUCAUUUUAUUGAAUAUAUAAAUAGCAUUUGUGCAAGAGCAUUUUAAGUAAUCGGAGAAUAGUCUUUUACAUGACUGCCUAAGGACAGAUACCCAUGCCAUACAAGCUAGACUACAUAGCUCACCUCAGCAACAGAGACAAAUGAGGAAGAAAGAAAGUGAGAGAACAAGAUCCUUUGCAAAAUGAGCAAUUUUUCUACGUCCCGAAACUGUUAUUGCAUCCACUUAGGACUUAAUAAAAAUAGAGAAAUUACUAUCACAUUAAAACGGUUAAUAUCAUAGGAUCCAUGUUUUUUUGCAUAGCAAUGUAUACAUACCCCAAAAAUCAGUCCAGAGGACAACUCCACAGUUUAAAAGGAAAAAUAGCUAUAUAGAUGAGUACCUUUACUUUCUCAGAAGGGAAUUUAUAAGUCCUAACCUGUAUUCACAGAGGAAAAUCAGACCAGACAUUUACAAAGGAAAAUUCUCACAGAGACCAUGGAAAUGAAGCAGACAAUACGUCAAGCAUUCCGGAUGGAGUAAAAAAUCAAAUUGGUGUUUAUUAUCUAAACAAUCAUUUUGAGCACGUUGAUUCACGUGGUUAAUCUGCAGACUGCAUGAAAGCCAAAAACACUUGUUGGUUCCGACGCUUGGCCCUUAAGGUUGAUGAAAUCAAAAUCCAGGUAUACGAUAAAACAAGCCUACCUGUGCUCCCCACCCUAUUCCACAUGAAGAAAUUGCAGAAGGUGGAGACCAUGAGCUGUCUUCCCUACGAGCAACCACAAGGCCUGUUCCAAUAUUGUAGGUUACCAUCAUACCAACUUUCACAACAGUAAUUAUCGCAUACAUGACUGUCUCGACCUGCUGAUUUACACCACCAGAUGAACACAAAAUACACAAAGUAGUUUAUGUAAAUUCUCAACUUCCCUGGUCAGCGAUGCUCCUAAAUCAAUUGCAUUUCAAGAGCUCUUUCAAGCUGCUAGAUGCCCACUGUUUUCUGUCACUUCCAUACUGUGGAAUAUUUUCCUGAUACAAAACAAGCUUUGAAGAGUAAGUUCAGCAACCAUGGUCGCAGUAGAUGCAUAUUUGGAUGAGUGUGGCACUAAUGAUGAUGCCUCAGCUGUGCAUACACCUGCCAUAUAUCAAUGACUAGUUUCUUAAGAACUUGAAGCAUUUCUGAGGAGAAGUCUAAAACAGGACAAACCAAGCAAUCAGAACGGUUUGUAAGGAAAUAAUGAGAGCAGUACACAAGGGACACAUAUGACAUACAGUCAAGCAAGAGAUGACCCCUCUUGCAUCUAACCUGCACUCCGCUUGGAUUUGUGCUUCGAUUUCUUGUCUCGUUUCUUACUACUGCAAAGCAUCAAUCUCAUAGGUUUCACAUGCCAAUUGUUAUCAAGAAUAAAAGAAAUCAGAGGACAGGGGUUUGAAGGAAUUACUCAUCAUGUGAACUAAGGCCCCAACAAGACCUCAGCUUCCUGUUGAUGUGUUUCAUAUCUUUCUCAGAAGGGAAUUUAUAUGUCCUAACCUGUAUUCAGUCAGCAGCAUGAAGAACAAAUUAGAAACUUUUUAUCAAUACCUAGAACUUGGUUCACAUGACUUGCAUUUUCAAGUAGAAUUGAGAUCGCAAGACCAGUUAUGCUUUUAUAUUUUGAGAUAAAUGGGAGAAAACUUGAGGAUUUACCAAGGAAUCUAUCGCAUUCAGAUGCUGAAUGAGCUCUGUGCUGCUGUGAAUGGAAUUUUGGCGUAGGAGCAUGUUCUCUAGGUAUCUGAAAAGAAGCAUAAAUUUCAAUUGACCCAAUCAUCAUUACAACUAAGGUACCAAGAGAAUCAGAACAACUGGCUGCCCCAAUGUAGAGAUGUCUAUGGCAAGUAAUUCUUAUUGUUGGUUUCAUAAAAAAAAAAAAUUGAGUUGCUUUUAACCUUUCAUAGUCCAGAACUCUAUGCACCUCAUUAGCAUGACGCAAAGCCGUCAAUGCCAGCUGCACCAGAAAACAUAAAAAAGCCUUUAAGAAUAUAACAUGGGAGUUCAGCUACACCAUCAAACUAAGGAGAAAUUCUAAAGGAUUUAUUCAGUGAGGUAGAGACCAAGAUCUUGGAAGCACUCAAGAGUUAUAAUUUCCAAACACAUCCACUAUUACCAGUACUGCAGCCAACAUUUCUAAAGGUUACAAAAUUGCUCCUGCACCAUAUUUCUCUGUUGCCCAGAUACCCAUUUAACACGUUGAAGCAUCUGACAUGAGUUCAACUCCUUUUUAUUCGAACAAAUCUAUACUCCUCAUAUAGAGUAUAUAAACCUAAUGGGAAAUUAUCCAAAAAUUGAAAGCAAGUUGCCGGGCCUAAAAAUUUGCUCAUGAACCAAGUAAAAGUAGAACUGUAAGAAAAGGAAAAUGCAAGAAGUACCUGUCCAGGAGGAAAGAGAAGUGGUGCAUCAGUAACCAUAAUUUUGUCUACCUCCUCUUUUGCAGUUUCCUGGAAAUGAUCAAGAACCAUAAUGCAGAAAAUUAGUGUGACAUAAGGAUAUGAGCAGUCUAUUUCCAAAAGUACACAUUUGCAGCAGUAAUAUAAAUAAGAAGAAGAAUAUAAACAGGAACAUAUAAAACGAAACAAUUGACUUAAUAUACUGUUGAACGAAGAUUCUAUAACACUUGGGUCAGAGGCUCUCACAUACAUAAGGCAGAAGCCAUGUAAUAACACUAUUUGAAGUUCAUCAAAAGCAUGCAAAUUUCUGAGCACAAACAUCCCCCAGCAGUAUGGCGAAAUGCCAGAUGUCAGCUCAACCCACCUGCUUAUUGUAGCCUUUAAGCUUAAUUUCCUUCCAAGGGUCAUGCUUCUCUAAUGUCAAGCAACUAAGUUGAUGCACAUGGGGUGGUUUUGUGUUUACUUCCCACAUGUUAUACUUACAACUAAGGUUCUCACUCAGUUAGAUCUGUUAAGAAGCGAAUAAGUUUAUUGAGGUAGAUAUACAGUUCCAUAAAGUGCUAAAGACUGGCCUAGUGCAUACACAAAUAUAACAGGGCAACAAUUUGGCAUUUCUCAAUUGCAUGUUCAUCUACAAACAGAUACGCUCAAUUUAACAACGGUUUAAGGCGAUGACCCACUAAGCAUAUGAGGUGGUUGUUGUCAUAAGGAACUGGCAUCGAAAGCUUUCUCCCUUGAGUUAAGUUCCUCGAUAGGUAAAACUCCGCUACAAUUGAGAGGAGAUCCUUCAUCUCAGCCCCACUAGCUGCGAUCAAGACUCUACCAUCGGAGUUAAUGGUUAUUUUUGAAUUUCGGACCAAAUCUCCCAUGAAAUCUGAGAGAGCGCUCUGAGUGGAAAAUUGAAAGUUAGGGUAGACGAGAGAAGGAAUGAUGGGCAGGCGAUGCAUGUCAGUUUCCACUGAGUGAAGACCCGUUAAAUCAGAUAAUAGAGACAUAUCUAGUCCAGCCUUUUCAGCACAACUCAAUCCAGACAUGCUAAACUCAAAGACUUCUCUCUACAUGGUGGAUUGUUCGGCAAUUCCGGUGCCUAGGGGCCCAGUAGUUGAGUGGACAUCUGCAAUCAUAAUAAAUAAACCAUUACUUGACCAUCCACUCUCACGACAAGUAACCUGUUUAACUGCAAAGAGCACUGCAACACAUGCCCUACAAAAGCUAUAUUGUUUUCUUUAGAAGCAGAUCUUGGUUUCAGUGAUCUCCUAAACCUAUAUAGAUGGUUCAGCACUUUAGCCAGUUCUACCAACCUCAACAGUAAUCCCCCAUUUGUUGUUGAAAUUCAGUUUCCAUGAAUUUUCUGACCAUACAAAUGCAAGUGCCAUGAAUAAAUUGCUAGCUUCAGUUUCCAUUAAGCGUAUGAUUCUACAAAUUCAUGUGGCCUAAUAUAAUUGCUUAUACCAUCAAGCACUUGCAAAAGGAUACAAAUUCAUAUUCUUAAGUAGUUUUGUGGUAAGAUGAUUUAAAACUGUAAGGGUGAUAAAUAAUAAUGGCCCCAAAAAAUUUCAUUAUCUCUGUGGCAUGAAGGGUGAGAUUUUCAUCAAAUGAAAUCAAUGACUUGAAGCUUGUAAUUAACAAAUUUACAUGAGAAAUAAAUUAUACCCAGAAGGAACGCGAGCAAUUUAUUUCAAGGUCUCUCCUUUUGGACAAGCUGACAUAUAACGUGAAUUGAUUUAAAAAUAAAAUAAAAACUAAAAGAGAGAGAUAUCUUCAACUGAGUAUUACGUGCAUACCUUGCAAAUCUAGAAUCACGGGAUCUUUCUCCACAGAAUCAAUCUGCACACACCGCUUUGCUGCUAACAGUACAUAUAGGGGUUCCACUGCCUCCUUGAAUUGAUUAGGACUGAGGGUCAUGGAUCCCAAUCUUAUAAUGUCUUGUCUUGUCCUAGCAGCAGGCAAAAUUGGCUGAAGAUCCUGCACUUUCCAUAAUUAGAUUUCCCGAAUGCAGGAUGCAAAAUAACAAGGAACCGACACCUGACCAACAUUAGCCAUUUCUAUAAUCUAACAUAGAACAAAAGAAAAUCCCUAGCAAACAUCACUGCACAUAGAUCUAAACCAACCUAAACAAUUGAGGAGGUCAGAAUCAACAAAGACAAAGCUUCGCAACGUGCAAGCACCAAUGAAAAGCAAAAUUUAAUUGCAACUUCGCAGCACUCUUUAAACCCGAAAUCACCAAGCUUGGAGCAUGAAGCCACGGAGGUCAAGAUGGAGUUGCAAAAUUUCAAUCUUUUAGACAAAGAGUGGUGAAAAAACAAAAAACUCGUGAUCAAGAGAUCUUACAUAGAUGAAUCUCCUAGAGAACCAGAGUUCCGCAACACAUCAGAGGCCCAGUCAACGACGUGCACAGUGCAGCAUCGAAACUCACAAAAGCCGCAGCUAACGACGAGCUACAGAGCUAAAACACCACACGACCCAAUCAAAGACUGAACGCCAAGCAGCAAGCACGGAGCUGCCACGACAACAGAACAAAAUCGACAACACCGCACAAGAAUCAACCGACGGAAGCUAUCCAAAGCGCUUCGGCAAUCCCUAGGCACGAAACCCAGUUCGUUCCGAUUCGAAUCCGCGACGGACGGAAUCAAGAGGAACCGAGAGAAAUCGAGACUCACCCUGACGACUCUGCUCGCGCCCUUGCUCCUGACCAAGAACGAGGCUCGGCGGAUAACCGAGCGAAGCCAUCAAGCAGAGCUCCGCCAUCAUCGACCAAGAACGAGGCGAGGAGGGAAGCGCUUAGGGUGAGUGAGAGGGCUCGAGACAGAGAGGAGGGGGGCGCUUGGGGUGAGUGAGAGGACUCGGGACAGAGAGGAGAGGAGUGCUUGAGGAAGAGAGAGGCAGAAGCGGGAAGAAAUAGCGCGCGCUCCGUUGAAAAGAAGAGAGAGAAAAUGCAGCAGGCCUCUCCUUCGUCGCCGCGCCGUCGACCCCGCCCAAGUCCGUCGAGAUCUCCCUCGCGACCGAGCGGGCUAGCGUCAGGGACAGCGCCCGGUCAGCGGCGGGGAGCCUGGUGCCGCUCGGGAACGAGACCGAGAUGACCAGCGAGGCUUUUGGGCAGGCGGAGGCGGAGGCAGAGGCGGAGACGGAGCCGGAGGCGGAGGAGGUGGGAUGCGCGGAGAAGGAAACAGAGGAAGGCUCUGAGCGUUCUCGGUUCUUUUACGAGGAGAGAGAGAACUGGCCUAUUCAAGUGAGGAGAGAGAGAGAAAUUUUGGGCAGGAGGAAUACGCUGACCGUCCUUUCUUUUCUGCAGGUGGAGCCGAGCCGAGCCAGCCGAAUACCAGCCCUUUUCUCAUUUUCCAGGGGUCCCGCUCGGGACAGGUGUCGGUACCUGAGUGGUAUGUGCGCGCCACGUCAGCGGAUGACGUGGCGCGCACGAACCACUGAAUAUUUUCUCGAGGAGCAAAGAGGAGAGAGGGAGUCGGGAGAGGGGAAGAAGGCCGAAGACGCCAAGUGGGGCCCACCCCUCCACAUGGCGCCUCGUGAGUGGCCGGGGACCACGCUGACGUGGAGGUCCCGGACCACCCAAUAUUUUCUCAAUGUAAUGCGCACGUUGUUUGGGACCUUAUCCAGUAGCAUCACACUUCGCAGGCAAAAACCGUGGGUUUGACUGGGUCAAACAUCGGAUAUCGGAUCUUCUUGGGAUACAUCCCCCUAAAAUAAUGCAUGCGAGCGCCAAGUUGUGAUAAAGAGAGAUAUUUAUUUUAAUGUUUUCUGUUUGGAGACUUUAAUUUCUCGACACCUUUUUAUUUUCGUAAAAGAUGACUUGCGCAAUGGAAAUUAGUCGAGAUGUGUGAAAUACGGGUUAAAUCUUGGAUUUCCGAAAUUGAAACUGAAUGAAAAGAAAACAUGAGUGAUUUGAUGAAAGAGAAUAGCCGUUUGGAAAUUGAUGGUGAAAAUAUGUAGAUCAGCUCUUGAUUGGAAAAUAGGGAUGGAAAUCAAAGUGGAUAUUGUAUUUGGCGAUUGCAAGCUUUGCAUCAUGAAAUACUAUUGGAAAAAUGAUCACCACAAUUCAUUUAUUUCACAAAAAAAUGAAUGAUUUGAAAAAAUGGAACUUAAUAAAUGAUACCCGCCACGACUAAGAGCUAACUAUCGGCUCCCAAGGGGCAAACCUAGAACACUGUGCGCAAAAUAUUUCAUAUCAAGGCUAAAAUUACAUUGUAUUAGCAUGAGACGUAACAAACUCGAGAUACAUAACAUAUGUAAGGCCGAAUGACAAGAGAUUUGUACUGUUUUUUUUUUUGGUAUGGUGAGAUUUAUAAUAUGUUGGUUGAUCAUUAACAGUGCAUCAUCACUACCAAACGUAAGGCCUAUCAUUUGAACAGGAUACAUAUGAAAAGAUGCGGCCCUUGAUCAUAAGGAGAAAAUAUUAGAUACAAUUUUGAUGUCAAUUUAGCAAAUUAGUCCAUUCACAUCGUGGUAUGUGUCAUGCACGAGCUCACCUAUCUGUCACCGUCUUCCCUCUCUCUCCCUCCUUCACCAUCUCUCUCUCUCUCUCUCUCUCUCUCUCUCUCUCUCCCCCCUCCUUUUGACCCUUUUUCCCUUCUCCAACCUCGAGCCCGAGCCACCACCAUUGUCGGCCACGGCGAAGAGCACACUCGGAGUCUCUGGCAACAAGCUUGCCGCCCAUGGAUCCUUAUCCCUUUACGCACCUUGUGGUGGGAAACCUUGAGCCAAAGAUCCCUAUUGCUGCCAAGCUUGCCCGCUCUGCCAUAUGCCCAUUGUCCUCUCCCUAAUUCUGUAAUAGUUUCGUCAAAUGGAUGGGAGAUGGUAAGAAAUUUUGCAGAGCGAGAAAAGCUCGAGACUUUUUGUUUUUGGAGUGACUAUUUUUUAACCGUGAAUGCAUGACAUGCCUGUGACACACCCGCAUUGAGAAAAUAUCAAGUGAGAGCAAGAUUUGAUGAAAAAUACUUCAUUAAACCUUUUAAGUUGCAUCCCAAAAGAUACUAAAGCCCAAAAUAUGGGGGCAAAAACAAGAGGAAAUAGAAAGAAGCAGGAGAAAGAAGUCAAAUUUGUACUUAUUUUUUAAAACCCAUACCCGUGUGAAGCCCAUCGAUCCUCAUCUUGGGCCGUGAGAGACCCGCCGUUCACCCGACCCGACUUGAUUUUCUUCCUCUCAUGUUUUCCCGGGAAAACCUUCUUCCCCUCUCUAGCUUUCUCCGGGAAAAUUUUCCGAUCCGUUGCAAACCGUUCAUCAUCUUCCGUUCUGUAACAGAUCUCGACGACCUGCGAGGCUGCGAUGGAGAUUCGCAUCGGAAGAGGCUACGCGUGGGCCAUCGCCGCCGGAUUCAUGGCCGCUCUCGCAGCCAUUUCCGCCAAGUUCUUCUCCUCUCAGGUGACUCGACCUCAUCCCUUCAUCUCCGAUUGCGCGCUUGUUCGUGCGAGCUAAUCUAUAGUUGUCCCCCGCCGUUCUGAUUCGGCACUCGAGGCUGUGCGAUUGUUCCAGCCAAUGCAAAUCGAAAUCUGGCGUGUGUGUUGGACCGUGUCCCUAAUGUAUCUCCGGCCGAAGCACUCGACGACGCGUGGCGCGAUGUGAGCUGCGGCCGAUAGCCGGUGCGCGGCGAUACGUCCAAUUUUUGGUUGUUUGAGGAUUAGCGGGAGCUCUAAUUGAGGAAGCUCCUGCCAAUUCUACUACUUCUGUGGAGAGUAGUUGAAUAGAUUACCGAGAGGAAAGCUUGGAAGCUAUCCGAGCGGCCUGUCGUGGCAAUCGGUCGACGCCUGCUCAGUAGCAGAGGAGAGUUUCGAAAGUUGAGGGGACAAGUUUAGGAAAUUCGUGCAAAAUCUCAGUUUAUGAGAUGGGGAUGCGGACAGAGAUUCUUGGUGAAAUUUAAAAGAAGAUAGCAUAGGAAAUAGGAAACGCGCCGAACGCCUAGCAUGCAGGCCAGGCGGGGCGGGGUUGGGGCAUCCGGAGAACUCUGACUGGAUAUUUAGAAGGGAUUACUAUUGUACAAGCAUCUUCUCGAAUGUGAGCUUCGCAGACUGGGUUGUUAUCUGUCAGGUUUAUAUCUUCCCUGGGACGAAGAAGAAUAGCAAAGAGAGAGAAAACAGAGAACGAUUAUUCGUGGUGUCAUUAGCUGCGGAUGUCAGCAUUUCCUAGUCAACUCAGUCUGAGAUCUGGUGCUUUUGCAGUGAACUGGUUAAGUCCUACCAUGAAUGGAGUUCGUUUGGUUGUAUCUACCUUAAACGUUAAAUCGUCAUUCCCUGGCACAAUUAUGUGAAAAGAAUUAGACGUUUGAUUCUCUCUGCGAGAAAAAUGUUUCAAUGUCUGAGUCCAGUUAAUUAGAUUCCUAGGACUUGACGAUGAGUGGUCACUGCACUGCACUAAAGCCUGUUAUUUGACAGGAAUCUUUUCCUCAUGCUCCUCCUUUUCCUCCAUUUCUUUUGAAUGUAGGGGCAGAUUGUUUAAAGAUAUUUUUCAUGUGUUUACUGAUUGUCUAAGAUGCACAGUUAAGCAUAUAUUCUGUCAUGAUACAUCAUUGAUGAAUUUUCCCAGUAACUGUUGCCAUUAGAUGGGUGUUGUUAAUAAAUUGUGCAGUUCAUGAACUCGGACAUAUUUUUCCUGGACUAACACCCAGACAUCUGAAUUUGUUAACAGGUCAUUAAGUAUGGUUUUGUCAUACUGUUCAAUGUUACAAUGUGGGGAUGUUAUGUCAACAGCCUAAAGAGUCUCUCGUCUCUUCAAGCCACAGUUACGAACUUUGCGACAAAUUUCCUCACUUCUGGAUUAGCUGGGUUCUUUUUGUUUGACGAGUCAUUGAGAUACCAGGUACUUUGAUAACUAUUUUCCUGUCCUGUUCCGCAAAGUUAUAUACUUCAAGGUUUGAUUUUUUAUUGUGUUUAAAAUAAGAGGCAAGCUCUUAUUGUUACAGCUGGAGCUGUCAAAAAGUAUUUUUCACUGAUACAAGUAAUAUCAUGACUGCAUUUAGUUCCCUCGAGAGAUAAAUUCUCUCUAUGGAAUCAGAACUGGUUAUCUUGAAAGUGGCAAGUAGGCUAAAAUUUAGGAGUCAAGUUAUGCAAUAGAUAACUUCCGAGUUUAUCAUCUCAUGAAUGCAUCGAGGGUAAUUAUGCCAUCAUAAAUGGGGAAUAAUAAAAUGGAGGAGGGUUUUAUAUUUCAGAUGAAAGCUUCUGAGAUCAAUGUGGUUGCCAAGGGAAAGAGCUAGUUCGCUUCAUGCAAACCUGUUGUUCAGGGAUUCUUGGCGUAGUCUCCACCUUGCGAUAAACGGUGUCGAGUACUUCCUAGUUCCUGAUAAUGACUCGAGUUUUAGGUUUAAUCAUUGCUAUCUUGACUCACAUUAUGGUUGUGAUAUGGUUGUGAAAUUGUGAUUAAAAGGAUGCAGUGAUUCGAGAUUCUCACUCCACUUAGUCUAUGAAUGCAGAUUUCACAAAAUUCACAUGAAGUCCCGUUCUUAGUGGUUUGCAGGUGCACUUUUCAUAGUGAUUGGUGUGCUAAUUCUCAGCAAAUCAAGUAUUGAGAAGAAAAGUAGAGUUGAUUGAAAGUUCUCAGUUUAUGAGAGAUACCAUACGCCAUGCUUGAAGGUUGCCCUCUUUUGCUACUGGCAACAGUUGCUCUGCUGCUCUGGUUUAUGCUUUUCGUUCCCUUCUCCCUUUUAAGUGCCCGAACUGCCUGUUAAGUGCCCGAACUGCCUGUUCUCAUUUAUUUUUUUGUGGAUUUGCAGGUGACUUUAGUAGAGAUCAGAAGUUCCAUUCUUGUGCCACUCUCAAGGAAAGGAGAAAAUGAAGUUGAGAAUUGAGGAUAUAAAGGGUGUUUCCUUCCUGGCCGGUGAUUCCGUGUGAACGAUCACUACUUGUCGUGACUGGCAGCACCACGGAUGCUAUGUUGUUAAUGCCAGGAUUGCUGUGUUACUGUUAAUGGUGACUGUACAAUAUAGCUACAAGGCAAGCUGCAAAGAAGACAGAUUUGUGUUUAGAGAUGGGAUCCUAUCCUACUUUUCACCAUGCCAAACGAGUAGGCUAAAACAUUGGUAAGCGAACCCUAAUUUAGGCGCUCUUGACAGGCUGAAUGUGUCGUGCGCGCUUCGUGAGCGUGAAGCUAAAAGACCCAAGAAAGAUCAUCUUUACAUUGAUAUAAAUCAAGGCCUUGAUGUGAGCUUAUGCCGACAUGUGCUAUAAUGUUUUUAAAAAAAAAAAAAAAUUGCGGAGGAUUUAAUGGACAUCGGGCAUUACUGGGGCAAGGUUGUCCUCUAACUUACCCCGAACCGCUCUUUCUUUAACACCGUCCAUUCUUUUGGCUCUUUAUUAAUUUAUAAAAUAUGAAAAAAAAUUGAUUUUAUUGUCUAAUUGAAAUUUUAUCAAGAAAAAGAUCCUUUUUGUCAAUUUCUGCCUUGACAAAAGAGAAAUGCGCGAGUUGGAUCUUUCAAUUACUUUGCCGAAAAGGUAGUUACGUUAUAGCGUGUGUACUCAUUGCAAUAAUUGGAUAACGAAAAUAUAUUUAUGGGUGUGGCUCUAUUGAUGAAAUCAUGCUGUUCUAUUGUUAUUGUGGUAAAGGAAAUAAUACCUUUUCCUCGGAAAACUUGGUUAAAUGUGUGAUUUGAAACAUGACAAUGUGUGGCGAAAAUAAUAGCUUUUUUCAUCACUUAAAAUUCAUAAAAUCAAUUUGGCGAAAAGAUCGGGAAAUUGUUAAAUUGUACAACUUUUUGGGUCCAAUUGUCGCAAUAAAUAAUUAUUCCGCCAUUUAGAUGAUACUUAUAUGCCCUCUAAUAAACAUUGCAAAUACAGUAAUUUUGAUGUCGUAUUAGUGAAAGCAUGAUAUUCAACUUUCAUGCUAGAUGGAGCGACGAUGGUCUAUUUGUUGUUAUGCUAUAAGUGAGAUACUUAAAAAGAAAUAGUAGCCUAUAAUGAAGUGAUAAUCAAGAGGGUCUCCUUACUAAUCAGCAUCUAAAUAUUAUUAUUAUUAUUAUUAUUUUUUUUUUUUUGUACUCAGGGAACCUCUGUGCGCCUCUUCGCGGCGGAGUAAACCCUGGAGGAGCAGUAGAGUCACCACCACCCUUGCUGCCCCGGGUAAGUCAUAGGUUCCUUUCUCGCAAGGCAGACGACACAAUGAUUCGAACUCAGGACCUCUCCCGAAAGGAACCUAAACUCAACCACUACGCCGCCACCACAGGUGGUAACGUCUGAAUAUUUUGGUAAGUCCUUUUAGUUAAAAAGAUCGAACCAAAAAAUGAUCUCCACUCAAUCCAUUGAAAGUAGGUGAAUCACUCAGUUCAAUGGAAGAACCGGUACAUGAAUAAUGGUUAAGGGACUUUUUCUCGGGGAAUACACUCAAUCCAUUAAAUUACCAACCAUUGAAUUACCAAUUUUUAUCCAUGUGUUUUCCUAUUUGUUGAUCAUCAAUUAAUACAUUCUUUUGUUUUAUCAAUUGAUAGAUAUAGUUACAUGUUUGAUGUUGCGUAGGGAGAAUGCUAAAUCAUAAAGAUGAGACAAAACACAGGUUUUGGCUUAAAUUUAUUCGAUCUCGUGUAAAGGCAAGCUGGAAAUCUUAUAGCUACACUUAAAUAGCUCAAGCUCGUGCUCCACUUAAAAUUAGUCGAGGCGAUCAAUCGUCUAGUCCAAUUUGAAUUAUUUACGAGUAAUUUGAUGCAGUUUGCACCAAAAUUAUUGGGUCCUCAUCGUGACAGAAAGAAAGAAUGAAUUAACCUUCAGCUUGAGUUUAUUUUGUAGACCUCAGUAGAAAUUGCGCGGACAAUGAUUUCUUAAUGACCAAGAUGGAACAAAUUAUUCACAAUCCAAGAUGGUAAUUGAACUACAUCAUACUAAUGUAUUAUGUCACGCCCCGAACAUCGAGCACGCGCGCAUCCCUCGAUGGUCAAUAGAAUUUUGCGACAUUUCCAGGACUUGUCGCCGACCUUUUUUCAUUUUAUUGCACAUGCAGAAGCGAAUUAACUAAUCCCCAAACAUUAACAAACAUGAGAUAGAAAAGUAGGACAACCGGUUUCAAAUCAAAUACACUUUCAUAAACACUUCAAGCUUAUACAGAAAGUCUAUCUUAUAAAGGACUACUGAGCCACCUAUGCUCCUGACCCUUAUGCUUCAAGCUCCGAGUUCUUCACACUGGAGACUUGAAAAUGGUUAUUUAAUAACCAGUUAAAUGUAAAUCUCAGCGAGUUCUUCCCCUAAUCCCCCGAUUAGUAUACCAACUCAACUCGGGGUAUCUCUUCAGAACCAUCUCACAAACAAACCAAAAAUUAAUAAAUAACAAUCAAUAUUCGUUUCACAUGCAACCUUACUUGGUAUGCCAUACCCUACACAUCAUAACUCAGCACAAUACACGCAAUGUACAUGGCCAGUAGAUGACGCAGUUUAUCAAUCACAUACAAAUCGUGUUACAAGUGAUCUCACCUAGCCAUAGCCACACAAAUGCGUUGUCUAGGGUAGAGGCGCGGAGGCACCGCCAUCCCUCAUCCCAGCCCAGUAUUGUUCUCUUUGGGCCCUGCACUGGCACAGAUGAAUCACCAUCUCAGUUAGGCCACCCCUUAAGGCUUUGUUCUCAGCACAACGGAAGCAUAUGUGAAACGCGUUAUCGAUUCAUGCGUGCGUGCCAUAAACAAUGUGCUCAACUCAUGCAUGACUAGAACUAAAGAUGCCAUAAUUCUCAUGCGUUCUUGCUCAUUAGUGCGCCACACAGCACACAUCGAUCAAUCACACGGAUCCCAGUCAAUGCAAUAGAUAACAGUCUUCCAACAUAAUCGGGCAUCGUCUCACACCAUUGAGCACGGUAACGUUUACAUCUAGACAACAUUCCAUAUAGGAGCAUCGGCCUAGCCUCCACUUCGAUCGGCAUCCGUUGACAUGGGGCAUUCCCGAAGGAGCAUUGUCCGGCCUCAAAGACUAGUGACGACAUCUCAUAUCAUUCAUCAAUUCAUUCAAUUUCGACUCAAGACACCAUGCAUUGCACUCAAAUACCUAAAAAAUGGUGAUCCUUGCAUAUUUUCUUAAUAUUAGAAAUGCAUGGUAAAAUAAUCGUGUGUAGGGACACGGUCAGAUCGAACCAGAAAAUUUGUGUAAUCUUUUUUAAAAUCCCACAGUUUGGUAUAGUAUUUAAAAAUACUUUCAACGUUCAAAACUUGACACCCGGUAUUUUCUAAUUAAAUACCAACAGUUUCCAAUCACCAUACAAUUGCACAAAAUAUCACCCAAUUCAUGCGGAUGCUCAUGCCUUUACACAUCCAUUCACUUCUUAAAAUCAAUACACAUGAAAUUAGACCACUUUUCAUCCUCGGGUGAACAGUGCUUGUGAGCAGUGAAAUUCCAGAAUUAACUAACUAAUCAAUUAAAUCCACAAGUCAUUAAAAACACUAAUUAAAGUAAGCAAAGCAUCAAGAACCAUCAUUAAACUAAAAUCGGUCGUAAUUGGCAGAAAUUGGGCCUUCGCGUGUCUCCAAAUUUAAAUUCAGAAACCUAACCAAUCAAGCUCAGAAAAUUCCCAAAUUUGAACAUGUGACAAAGAACACGUAAACAAAUAUUUUUCAUGAGACACCGAGACCCAGAUCCUUCUAGAUUUGGCCCAGUAACUCACUCAAUCCAGCACCAGAGCUAGGGUCGUUCCCAGCAAGUCAGUUUUCUGAAAUCAGUUCGGUUUGAAGUCUUAAACAUGUUUGUUUAAUCUGAAAUUUUAGUAUGUUAAACUAGAAAAUGUAAUAAACAACUUUUACGAAGAAACUAUUUGGAAAUUCGAACCCUAAGGGUCAGUAAACAUCCCUAGAAUCUUAACAGGUCGGGAUUUCCAGUAUAGUCCGACUUUCUAUUUAAAGAUAAUGGAGCUAAAAUCAUCUUCUUUUUAAUUCCCAAAAAUCCUGAAAAAAAUAUAUGUUAUGAUUAAAGGUGUCUAAAACAUUUCUUCAGAAGGAAAUCACUUCAAAAUUGCAACACAUCUCAGUUUACAAAAUUAGCAAAUCGCAAGCAUCCAAAAGUCCGAAUUGCAGGAAAUCCACUGAUUUGGACUAAUCCACCUCAAAUGUACCAAUCUCACUAAUUAAAUUAACACUAAUCCAUUCUAAGGCUAAUAUAAACAACCCUAAGCACAAAUCAACCUUCUAAGCAAGUUUAGAAAUUAAUCAAAAGAUUAGGAGCUAAACUCACCCAACGACAAUUCCGACGACAUGAGCACGACCGCGGUGGCGAGGGCUACGCACGGUUACAUCCAAAAUGUCACGGAGGCUCGGCAAAAGUGGAUCUCGGCGGUUUCUGAUUUGGCACGAACAGCGGGCGGACAGCUCGCGGAUGGGUGGUGUAGCUCUUUGGCAGUGGACGGCAGUUUGCGGACAGUGAUGGCCCACGGCCAUGGCGCAAGAUGGUGGCUGAUUUGGGACAGGACAACAGCACACGGUGGUGUUUUCGGGAAGAAAACAGAAAAGAAACUAAAGAAAGGAAGAGAAGAGGAAGAAGGGAGGGGGUUGUCGAGAGGAGGAAGGGGGGAAAAGUGGGAGAGAGAAACAAAAAAGGGAGGGGAAGUUGCGAGGAAAUUGCAACAGAAGGGUUGGCGUAGGUGAGGGGGUGGAAAAGUGGGAGAGAGAGGGAGAAAAAGAAGAAAGAGAGAAGAAAGAGGGGGAGGAAAUUGUGUGCGAAGGAGGGGGGAAGAAAACGUGAGGGAGAGAGAGAGAAAGAGAAGAAAGAGAAAAGAAAAAGGAGAAAGAGGAAUCUCGGCCGAAGGAGGAGGAUGCGUGAAGGAGAGGAGAAAGAGGAGAGAGAGGGAAGAAAAAUAAUAAUGAUAAUAUUGUUAUUAUUUUUCUUUUUCUUCCAAUCUCCAAUUUUUCAUUCGAUAAUUUCUUUUUCCAAAAUUUCAAGAUAUUACAAUUAGGUCAGUAUAUAUUGUGCCAGUUCAUCUAGGCGUGAAAAUUUCAAUGUUAAUAUCAAAUUGCAAUAUGCUUCCGAAAUUUUAAUUUUAACGAUCUUCUGAUACAUACAUUAUCUUUCAUAUUAACUCUAGUUUUACAAUAUUCCACAACAAUACAUAUGUAUAUCACGUUGACUCAAUUGUCACUUGCUGCAUUACCGUAUCACCCACCUCUAAGAGUAUUAUAGAAUACUCUGAAAAACCCUAGGAUUUCGAGAGUUAGUCGAGGGUUGCUUAUUCAUGGAUCGAUCACGGUUAUUCGUACAGAAACCCUCAAGAUCAUGUCACCUUCUCGGACCGUGACACUAGUUUAUGACUUUCUUUCAUGUUAAAAGUAAGGAAGGCGAUAAUCGUUGUUAUUUAAAUAGUUUUAGGAUAUAAAUGACUCAAUCGAGUUUUUAGGGACAAAAAGUUGAAUACCUGUCCAAAGUUUAUUGUUUGUAUAAACUCCACAUCCAUCACGAUCAAUAAUUUCUUAUGAUGACCACUUUAUUAUGCUUUGCCGGACCAGCAUGCACAUCUUCCUUUCUCUUUGGGCAAUAUAAUCCAAUUUCCAUUUUUCAUGACGAUCUGAAUCACGUCCUCAAAUGUCCAUUCCCAUGAAGUACUUUCUCAUGAAAAUCUAAUAACAUCACUGAGGAUAUUAAUUUUCAUAGAAACUAAAGGGAAAAAGGUACAUUAUAUAUGUGCAUUACUAAUACUCAUCAAUCUGCUUCUUCAUAAUCCAUUUAUAGCAUAUGACUUUAGCUAGCUACAUGUUGAGUCCUUGCUCAGGAGCACGAUGUAAUUAAUAUUAAAUUUAUCCAUAAAUUUAUUAAAUAAUUAGGCAAAAGUAAAUUGCUUGCUUAGGAUCGAUUGAUUUGUGCUAUAGGCUUUUUGUUGGCUUGGCAGUCGUUGGGCCACCAAACUUAUGAUCGAGUUCAAUUCGAUUGAUCUGCGUGCCUCGUUUUGACAUGAAGAAAUAUUUUACAGGGUCAUCUUUCAUGAGAAUACACGAGCUCAAGAUUAUUAAAGGAGCAUGAAGUACUCUUAUAUGCUUGACUAGCUAUAUUUCCAUAAUUUGCAAAUUGCAUUAACGGUUGUUUGAUUAUUUUAAUUAACUGCUAUCAAGUUGCUUACGUGGAUACCAUCUCAAAGUAGAUAUUACGUGAAAUAUAUGUUCCCUUUAAUUUGGGUUUAUCAAGUUCUAUUCUAUUUACUGGGGUCAGUCAAAUACGUUGUUUGAAGAGUUAAAAGAGUACCAUCCCAGGUCGUAAGUGAGUUUCAUGUUGCUUUUUUGUUUGAACAAUUUUUAAUUUUUAAUUAUUUAUUAUUAUUAUUAUUUUCUUUUUUUUCUCUCCUUCCUUUCUUUUUCAUUUUGCCGGUGGCCAUAAAGAAAAGGAAAAAUAAUAGAAUAAUAAUAAUAAUAAUAAUAAUAAUAAUAAUAAUAAUAAUAAUAAUUUAUAAAAUUAUUUAAGAAUUAUCUAAGUCAGCACCGACAAUGUUAUGUAAACCAACCGGCGUCCACGUCAGCAAUAUCUGGCCAAAAUUAAUUGGAAUGACUAAAUUGACAUUAGGUCAUAAAGCUUAUGAUUAAAUUAGUAUAAAUGUAAUAUGUUUAGGACUUUUCUACACUUUUCCCUUUCCUGUCGGUGUCGCUCCAAUCGGCUAGGCUCGAAAUCGAGUUACAUUAAAUUAGUAUAAAUGUGUCUCAUGCAGAUUGCAUAAGAUUAGAUGUGCAUGGUUAAGCAUAUAGUGAAAAACAGUGAAAAACAGUGAAAAACGCGUACAGCUGGAGGCUGGUUUGAGCUAAUCUAGAAUCAAAGUUUUGUUUUAUUACUAUUAUUAUUAUUAUCUUAACGGACGAAAGCGCGUCGUAUGGGUCCCACUUCCCCCGUCUCCUAAUUCGAACUUCUGUCUCCUCUUCUCUCUCUCUUCAAUUAUUGCGGUGUCGCCAUCUACUUUCUACUGUGACAACAACUCUCUCCAUUACCUCCAUCCCCACUUGAUUUGCACAUGUUCUCCCGAACCAAAUAGGGCUCAGUCAAAUCGGCAAAAAUCUCUCCUUCAGUCCGUCCGUACCCUUAUUAAUUCAUCAAUCCAUCGAGAUCGAAUCAAAUCACAAAUACCCUUUUUAAGGCCUUGCCGAUCUGCUUUUUAUUUUAAGUGAACGAACGACAAGUUCAGGCGGAGGCCCGGUCCAAUCGAAUGGAAAAAAAAUAAAAAUAACGUAGGAUCUUUUCUUGCGUGCAGAGCUAGGCCUCUUUGUCCGUGGGGCAAUUAAAGUUCCAUUAUUAUUAUUAUUAUUAUUAUUAUUAUUAUUUUGCCCCCGAUUUUAACUGCGAGUAGGUCUUCUAUUUAUUUUAAUUUAGGUUGCAAUUCCUGUCCAAGGACUGAAGUAAAAUUUACUCUUUUUCCCUCUCUUUUCUUUUUUUUUUUUAACUUAAAAAAGCCGCUUGAUCAAACACUAUUUAUCUUGAGCAAAUGCACCUUGAAUCAAAAGGGAAAUGACUCCGCAUUUCUUCAAAGGUCUUCCAAAUCCAAUCGCAUGUGCUCACGCCAAUAUUUGGCAUCAAGGUUUCCAAUGUUUCUCUUCCAAAAAAUAACAGUUACUUCGAUUUUUUUUUUUUUUUAAUAAAAAACAGUCGAAACCAGAUUGUCCAUCACGUUGACCCAUCGGUAGUCUUUUUAUACGCCAACCAGCAAGCGCUGUCCAUGUCCACCUCGAAUAAGAAAGACUUCACAGAUCGCUGCUUCUUCUUCUUCCGUCGGUGAUCGUCUUCACUUCCUCUCCAACCGCUUCCGGCUUCCUCCUGCAUCCUGAAGUUCCCUAUGGCGGCGGCGCUCGUCGGCGGAGCAUUUCUCUCGGCUUUCCUCCAGGUGCUCUUCGACCGGAUGGCCUCCCGCGAGGUCGUCGACUUCUUCCUGUCGCGCAAGCUCGACGAGGGGAGGCUGCUGCAGAAGCUGGAGGUCGCGCUCCUGUCCGCGAACGCCGUGCUGGACGACGCGGAGGAGAAGCAGAUGACCAACGACCACGUCAGGAAGUGGCUCGACGAGCUCAAGGACGCCGUGUACGACGCCGACGACCUGUUCGACGAGAUCGCCACUGAAGAUCUGAAGCGCGAAGCCGGGGUCGAGCCUCGGGCUCUCGUUUGUAAGGUCUGGAGCUUUGCUGCAGACGCUCGUAGGAGUAAAUUGGGGGAUGAGUUAGAGAGGGUUCUGGAGAGAUUGGAGAGCGUGGUGAAGCAGAGAGAAGUGCUGGGCCUAAUGGAAGGUUUUCGCGAGAGGACGGCUAGAGCUUUGCAGACCACUUCGUUGGUCGAGGAAUCGGGAGUUUUCGGGAGGGAGAAGGACAGGGAGGCGGUGAUCAAGUUGCUCUUGUCAGAUCCGGGCGAAAAGAACACCAGCGUGAUGGCCAUCGUUGGGAUGGGCGGUCUCGGUAAGACCACGCUAUCUCAGCUCGUGUUCAACGAUGGUGCGGUGAAGGGGAGUUUCGAGUUGAGGUCGUGGGUUUGCGUGUCCGACCAAUUCGACAUCUGCAAGCUGACGGCCACGGCUCUCGAGGAGUUCUCCUCCUCGUCUAAGAAGGAGACCGAAAAUCUCAACCAGCUUCAGCUCCAACUGAAGGACUUCUUGACAGGGAAGAAAUUCCUAUUGGUGCUGGAUGAUGUUUGGAAUGAGGACUCAAAUCUUUGGGAUGCGUUCCUAGUUCCUUUUACCUAUGGAGCAAGAGGCAGCAAAAUCGUCGUGACAACACGAAAUGAGGGUGUCGCAUCGGUUGCUCAUGCCGUCUCGACAUACCCUUUACAGAAGUUGCAAGACGAGGAAUCUUGGGACUUGUUCGCAAAACAUGCGUUUGACCAGCAUAACUUCGAGGCGCGCACGAGACUUGAAGACAUCGGGCAAAGAAUUGUAAAGAGAUGUGAUGGAUUGCCUCUUGCGCUGAAGACUAUAGGUAGCUUGUUACGCUGUGAGUCUGGUAUCAGGAAGUGGGAAAUAAUUGCAGAGAGUGACAUUUGGGAUUUGCCACCUGGAAAGAAUAAAAUUCUCCCUGCGUUGUUGUUAAGUUAUCAUUACCUUCCUCCACAACUGAAACGAUGUUUUGCCUAUUGUUCAAUCUUCCCAAAGGAUUGUAUAUAUGAGAAGGACCAGCUGAUCUUACUUUGGAUUGCUGAUGGCUUGCUAAAACAACCUAACGACAGUAGGACAUUAGAGGAAGUAGGUGAUCAGUGCUUCUGUGAUCUUGUGUCUAGAUCUUUGCUUCAUAGAGUAAGUGAUGUCCAAUCGAGCUUUUCGAUGCAUGACCUGGAAGUAAGUGAUGUCAAAUCGAGCUUUUCGAUGCAUGACCUGGUCAAUGACUUAGCAAGAUAUGUAGCUGGUCGUUCUUUUUUUAGCUUGGACGGAGGCAAUGCACACCACGUGUCCUCAAGCACUCGCCAUUUGUCAUUUGUAAGAACUCACUAUGAUGUCGCUUCUAGAUUCAGAGUGUUAGCCGGGGCAACGAAUUUGCGUACUUUCCUGCCGCUAAACGUGGGUCAUGGGAGAUUUUACAAGUACAAUUUGUUGACUGAUGAGGUACUGCAUGUUCUGUUGCCGACCCUGAGACGGUUAAGGGUGUUAUCUUUGUCUCAUUAUUGGAAAAUCUCAACGUUGCCCAGUUCAAUUGGAUGUUUGAAGCAUCUGCGCUAUUUGAAUCUCUCCUAUGAUGAAAGUCUAAUCAGAUUGCCUGAUUCAGUUACUGCUCUAUACAACUUGCAAACCUUAAUUCUUGCUUACUGUCGCUCUCUCAUUGAGUUACCGAGCAACAUGGGCAGCCUAACCUAUCUACGUCAUCUUGAUAUAAGGGGGACAUCCCUGAAGAGAAUGCCGUUGGGGAUGAACAGACUGAAGAAUUUGCAGACAUUAACUAAUUUCGUGGUGGCAAAAAACGAUGGGACCAGGGUUAGGGAGCUAGGGGAGCUUGGGAAUCUUAUGGGUACACUCUCCAUACAGGGUUUGCAGAAUGUUGAUAGUUACCGAGAUGCCGAGAUAGUCAAUUUGCGAGAAAAGAGGUACUUGAAAAAGUUAGUACUGGAAUGGGGUUCUGAUAACAAUAUUAUGCAGCAAAAUUGCUUAAAUGUAUUGGACAAACUGCAACCUCACUGGAACUUGAGAGAGCUUACCAUUAAAUCCUAUAGUGGUAGGUCAUUUCCCGAUUGGUUGGGACAUGGUUUAUUCUCUAAUAUGUCACUCGUUCAUCUUGAAUCUUGCAAGCACUGUGUGUCAUUGCCUCCUUUAGGACAGCUACCAUCUCUGGAGAAGUUGACAAUCGAAGGAUUUGAUGGAGUUACAAGUGUGGGUACUGAAUUCAAUGGUAGCAACUGUAUACCUUUUCAGUCACUUAAGUACUUGGAAUUUGCUAAGAUGUGCAGCUGGAAAGAGUGGGCUUCUUUUGCAAUAGAGACAGGAGGUCUUGCCUUUGCACAUCUACAGGAGCUUUGUAUUAGAAAUUGCCCUGAGUUGAGUGGAGGUUUACCCAGCCAUCUCCCUUCUCUAACAGCCUUGUCCAUUGAAGAUUGCCCACAGCUAACGUCUUCUCUACCAUUUGCACCACUUCUCCGUAAGAUCAAUUUGGAUGAUUGUGGAAAGGUUUCUGGAGUUGAGUCUCUCCGAGAUAUGAAAAUCAUGACUCUUUCGACCCUUCCCUUGAGGUUUCUUCCUCCUACUAUGACAAGACUCAAUCUCAAAGGAAUUCGUGAACUAGAGUUUCCAAUACACAGAUGCCAUGAAUCUCUCCAAUAUCUAAACUUGAGGAGGAGCUGCGAUUCACUUAUAUCAUUUCCUUUGGAAAUUUUCCCCUCACUUAAGAAUAUUCAGUUGGUGGGGAUUAAAAAAUUGGAACAUCUUUCAAAUUCAGACAGUUCAUCACUUCUUCUCCAUUCGAUGUACAUUAGAUAUUGCCCUGAAUUUAGAUCUUUCCCUGCGGGAGGAUUGGCUGCCCCAUGCCUCACUUCAUUAGAGUUGAAUGACUGCCGUCAUUUAAAGUAUCUGCCAGAAAACAUGCAGGCUCUCCUUCCUUUGCUUCGGUCACUGACAAUAUCCUCAUGUCCACAACUCGAGUCAUUUCCCGAGCGGGGUUUACCCUCGAAGUUGGUCGAGCUUUCACUCUCUGAUUGUGACAAGCUCAUCACUGGCCGCAAGGAUUGGGGUCUUCAAUCACCUUGCUCUCUUGAAACUUUUUCCAUUGAGAACGAGAAAAAUAUAGAGUCAUUUCCUGAGAUAGGGCUUCUGCCAACCUCUCUUACCUCUCUGCGUAUCUUUAACUUUGAGAAUCUGACGUCCCUGAACUCCAGAGCGCUUCAUAGCCUGAGCUCCCUUGAAAACCUGUCCAUUAUCGGAUGUCCUAAGCUCCAUUCCUUCCCAAAAGAGGGACAAAUUCUGCCCGCUUCUCUUACCUCUCUGUCGAUUUCUUUUACGGGUCUAAAAUCACUGGAUAACUUAGGGCUCCACCACCUCACUCGUCUCAAACAAUUUCACAUAGAUUUCUGCGAAAGUCUUCGAUCCAUGCCAGCGGAGGGCUUGUCAUCCUCCCUUUCCGAUCUAUUUAUAUAUGGGUGCCCUUUGCUGGCGAAAAGAUGCCAGCGGAAGAAAGGGAAAGAUUGGCCCCGAGUUUCGCACAUUCGAUGCAUCGUAAUUGAAGGUGUGCUCGUCACAUGAUCGUAUAUCUUGCUUUACAAUCCCUCCUUUUACCAAGAUCUCACUCAGGUAUCUCCCUUGGCCC